CCAGAUUGAUAGUAACUCAAAUCUCCAGAUAUCCGAAGAGUCUGAACACUAGGUAGUCUGCCCAAUAUAUCAGGAGUACAACUACUAGGGUUUAAAGCUGAUAUGAAAAUGAGAUUUUUCAGAGAGCUAGAAUAAUUUUUUGGAGGUGCGGGCAGAGUGAUAGAACCAAAGUUUAGAUGCAUGAGUUUUUGCAUCAUCCAAAUAUCCUCUGGUGACUGAUCUAUGUAGCUAGAUGGCAUUUCUAGUGUUUCAAGGUUUAAAAGGGUGCAUAGCAGUGAAGGAAGGCAUUUGGGCGAAGGGAUAUUCAAUUUCAAAUACUUCAAAAGGAAUGAAUUUUCUAAUCCGGGUGGAUAUUGGUCCAGGACUGCAGAACCCAUGUUCAAUACCCGAAGGUAUUUGAACCUUUUAAAAAAAUUCUCGCAAUCUUUCGAAUUAAGAUGAUUGCUUUUUGAACUGUGAUUCAGAAAAGAAGUUUCUGCAGAACCCAUGUUAGAAUGUUUCAAAGAAAAGAAGUCAAUCUGAUUACCCAAAAUGAUGUACCGUUUAACAUUUUCCGGUGGUUCAUCUUCCAUGUCAAGCAUCCAGACAAAUCCCGUCUUCUCUGCCACCAAUAACAAUGAAUAAUAUACAAUACUUGGAACAUAACACGCUUUAAUCGUGCCUCCGGCGCUUCUCUUACUCACUUGAAUGAAGCCGCGAUGGAUUAGUUCUUUCAAGUAAUGUUCGGCCGUCUCCUCACUGUUGUAUGGUAUGAAACCUUCAGCUACCCAUAACUGAUAUAAUUGCCUCGUGGAUAUCUCAAUACUUGGAGGGAAGACACACAAAUAGAUGCAGCAGACUUUCAAGUGAAAAGGUAACUCCAUCACAGAGAAAGUUUGUCUCCAUACUGUCGGAAUCGCUUCGCCUUGAAGAUAAUUUCCUAAUGGCAUACUUCCAUAGUGUAGGACGAAAAAUUGCCAGGCUUCAAGCUUUAAUCUGAUCAAUGGUCCUCCAAUGAGCACCGAAUCAAGCCGAAUCUUCUCUCCGUUUUCCAUUUUCAGCGACGUAAGGAGUUCUGGUUCAGUGACCAAUAUCAAUACUCUGCUUCCAUUCUCAUUAUCAGGGAGAACUUCUUCGAGAUCACUCCAUAUCUCACUGUAAUCGAAGACGUCAUCAAGCACAAUAAAGUACUUCUUGUUGGUUAGGUAAUCUCGAAGAACAGAUUUCUUCAAUUGAUAAUGUUCACCGAUAAUUACACUAACCCGAGAUGGAGGCAUCACAGACUUGAUUAUGUCAUCCAAUAUCCAUACUUUAUCGUAGGCUAUAGAAACCCUUACCCAAGCAUGACAGUCAAAAUAGAACUUGACACGGUUAUUAUUGUAAGUAUCUGCAGCAAAAGCAGUCUUAUCGAAGCCACUGCUGUCGAGAAUUGCAACCACUGAAAGCCCAGAUGGUCCCUCAAUCAAUAGAUCAAAAAACUUCUCUCUGCCCCUUUCAAAUUCACUGAUAUCGAGCCGAGGUUGUCCCUCACUCAAUAGGCGUAUGAUUUCGUUCCUUUUUUCACUGAUAUCAAAACCAUUGUCGCCGGGUGGAAGUUGUUGCAUCCGAUUUCUAAUAUCAAUGAUUUUAGUGUGGAGUCCAACAAGAAGAGCCAUAUCAGUACUGCUUUCACUUUCGUUUUCACUGUUUUGCUGCUGCAUGAUUUUGAUGAAGAAUGUGUCAAUGGCUUCCUCAGAUUCAUGGACAAAGUCAUUGAUGUCCUCCAGAAUUUCAAAAAUAUCUGCUGUUUCAACGUCUUCUUCAUCGCUUUCUUCUAAGUCCAACAGUUGCAAAAAAGGCAAUGAUAUUUUGGAGUCAUCUAAUUCUUCUCUAAGGAGUUGAAACAAAUGCCGAGCCAUGUCAGCUUCAUAGUUUCCCAGCAGAGUAGUAGCAAUAAUUUCGGACUCCGUAAGAAGGUUUUGAAAACGUGGAGUUAAAUUUGUUGAAUCUGGCAAAGUUAACGUGCCUUCUUCACCUGCUAACACCCUUUUCAACCUCUCACAAAACAGUCGGAGGUGGAAUUCCAGCAUAUCUCCUUCUCUCCGUAGCACUCAGAGGUAUAGCUGAAAGAUUAAACACCAUGGAAGAAUUUGAAAGGAAAAUGCCAAGAAAUUGUGUAAGUGGCUAAAUUCCACAAAUAUGACAUUAUUGCUCAUUUUUUAACUCAAAAAAAGGGUACGCGUUCAUUUAGAGAAAAGUCCAAGACGCGUGCUUUUUGAAAAGAACAGGUAUCCCAAUCGGUAUCCAACCUUUAUCUUAUUUAAUUACUACCAUGACAUAAUUGAUGGUGCUUAAAUCAAUUGUUUCUUUUUUAAUUUAAAGAAUUUUUCAUUAAAAAAAUAUUUUAAUAUCAAAUUGCCUUCAGUGGCGUAACAACUGCCUGAAGCCCAGUAACAGGACUAAUUAAAAAUUUUACAAUUUUUGGGCAUGGAAAUAGUAGUAUUAAACAUUAGAAAGGUGAGGUUGUUCUGUUAAAGAAUUGAUAUUGACAUAAUUUUAUUUUGGUUUUCGUGGAAAACAAAAAUAUUUGUUGACAAGCAAGAAAAUAUUUUUAUUUUUUAAAAUUUAUUAUGCAUAUUUUAUCAUAUUGAAGUAAUUUUAAUAAUAAAUAGAAACAUAAUAUUACAAUAAAUAAAUUAAAAUUUAACUUAUUUUGAAUAUUAUAAAAAAUAAUUUUAAUAUUAUUAAUAGGAAGACAUUGUAUUAAUUUUAAAAUUUUUUAACCCAAAGGUUUAUUUAAAAUCUUUAUUAUAAAUACAAAUAUAAAAUUAAAUAUCAUAAUUUAAAAUUUUUAAUAUUAUUUUAAGUAUUAAAAAUAUUUUAAUGUUAUUAGUCUACUACAUAGAUCAUAUUACUUAUAUAAUAUUUGUAUUAUUAAAAAUUUUUAAAAUCAAAUUUUUAGUUAGUAUAUUCAUGAGGUAUUAUGGUUACAAAAAAAAGACCUUAUUAUUACUUUUUAAAAAAUUGAGGGUCUGCGAUGAUAAUUUUUUCAAAAAGAAAAUACAUGGUAUGUAGGAGGGGUAGAGAAACAGGACUUCCAAAAUCUCUCACCCUUCUUUAAUUAAAAAAAAAAUUAAAAUAUUAAUAAAAAAUAAUAAAGAAAAUAGAAUUUUAUCUGCUCCUUACUCCAUUUUUGCAACUCUCUCAACAUCUCUGUCGAGCAGCCUUCUCUCUCAUUGUCUCUCACUAUUUCACGAUCUCUCUCUCACUCACACAGGCAAUGACCAUCUCAUCAUCGGCGGUCGUGUCGUCAGUGUCACUGGUCUUGCUCGACCGAGACAGUGAGAGAGAGGUUUCUUAGAUGGAGUGAUGAUAAAGGAUUCUAUUUUUUUUAUUAAUAUUUUAAUUUUUAAAAUUAAAAUGUGCUGCCGUUUCUCUUGUCUUUUUAGCUGUUUAGCAGCACUCUUUUCAAAAUUUAAGAAUGUAGGUGUCCUAUAAGAGAUCGAUAAAAGAACGUCAAUUAAAUUUAUAAAAAUAUGAUAAAAGAACGUCAAUUACUUGUCUUUUAGGGAAUCCAAUGAGAAAUAUGAUAAAAGAACGUCAAUUACUUGUCAUUUUCAAUUUUUUUCUGUAAGCUAUUUAUUUUGAGCAUUAGUGAUCUUGUCUGGACUACUCCAAUUAUUGACGUAACUCCAGUGGCUGCAAUUAAUGAUAUAAAGCUGAGACUUUUGACCAAGUUAUCUAGUUGGGAAAGCAAAUUUUUUUCCAGUGGGGGUAAAGAAGUGUUGAUUAAAGCUGUUGCUCAGGCUGUGCCAGCCUAUGCAAUGAGUGUUUUUAAGAUCCCUCAUAGCUUUUGUGAUGACAUUGAGAAGGCUAUUACUCGUUUCUGGUGGGGUUCCUCUGAAACAAAAAGAAGCAUUCACUGGACAAGGUGGGAACAGUUGUGCCACGCCAAGAUAAGGGGGGGAUUGGGUUUUAGAGAUUUCUCUAGUUUUAACCAAGCCUUAAUUGCUAAGCAGGGGUGGAGAAUUCUGCAGCACCCUGACUCUUUAAUGGCAAAGAUUCUGAAAGCAAAAUAUUUUAAGCAUACUGGUUUUAUGGAUGCGAAAUUGGGUUCACACCCCUCUUUUGUUUGGAGAAGUAUAUUAUGGGGUAGGCAAGUGCUCCAUAACGGCCUAAGAUGGAGAAUCGGCAGUGGGAGUCAAGUUUUAAUUUCCAGUAGCAAUUGGAUAAAAAACCAUAAGCUUCCCAGUUUGGUUCCAUAUUCAGAUCUACCUCCUGAAACUGUAGUUGCUGACCUUAUUGAUGAAAGUCACCAAUGGAAAGAAGAUAUGGUUUUCCAAUAUUUUCCAAUGGAUGUUGCAAAGAGGAUCACCAGAACCCCUCUCCCAAAAACUCCCCAGCAGGAUCUUCUCAUUUGGAAAUAUGAUAAGCACGGAAUUUACUCGGUGAAGAGUGGGUAUCAAUUGGCUGUUAAGCAAAAAUUCCAAAAUUAUCCAAGUUGUUCAGAUGUUACCAAGUCAAGGUGGGAGGUGAUAUGGGCUACGGAUCUUCUAGGAAAAGUCAAGAUUUUUAUUUGGAGGGCUGCUCAAAAUCUUCUCCCUGACUUUUCUUGCAGCCCUCUAGUAUUCAGGGCAGCCUUAACUUCAUCCAAUGAUAAAGUCUGUCUCCCAUACAUGAGUGCAUCCACAAAGUUUGAAUAUGAGGAUGGAAGUGAACUAACCAGAAGCAAUGCUUUACCUUCAUCAUCUAAACCUUCAUCAAUUAUUUCCAAUGUAUCACAGACCUGAUUGAAUUCAUCAAUGUGGUCUUCGAGAGAUGACCCUUCAGCCAUCUUUAGUGUGAACAUUCUUUUCUUGAUGUAAAGUCUGUUGGCUAAUGAUUUAGUCAUAUACACCCUUUCAAGCUUUGCCCACAGAUCAGCCACUGUUCUUUCUCUUGCAACUUCCCUGAUCACCGAGUCUCCAAGACUCAAGAUUAUGGUACUCCUUGCCUUUUUGUCAAUCUCAGCAGCUUGUUGUGGUGUUAGUGAUGAUGAAGAUGUGGAGGCUUCUAAUCCUUCUUUCUUGAUGAUAGGUUCUAAGGCAUCACCUAGCCCUUGAGUGAUCAGUAAUGCCUCCAUUUUAACCUUCCACAUGUUGAAGUCAUUCUUCCCUGUAAACUUCUCUAGAUCGAUCUUUGAACCAACCAUACUUGUGUCUGAUUUGUAAUCCAAGCUCUGAUACCAAUUGUAGUGUUUAAGAGUGACUAACUAUCCCAAUCAACUCAAAACACUUCCCAAGAUCACACCCAAACAAACAAGAUGUACCAAGAAUCAAUCCAGUAGAAUACACACAGAUUAUUAGAACUGAAAGAAUUAAAGAAAAGGACAAGAAUUAACGUGGUUCAGCUAGCUUCAGUCUAGCUUACAUCCACGGGAGAAACAGAACCCAAUUGUAUUGAUUGUUUAAAGGAGUUACAGAGAGUUCAUCAAGCUUGUUACAGAGUCUCUCAAGAAGCCUUUUGUUAUUAAUCUUCUCAACUCACAAUAGCUCUCUCUUCUUUUUUCUCUGUUGCCAGAAUCAGCUGUAUAUAACAGCUUGUUAACGAAUCAGCAACCAACCCAGGAACCCACGUGACAGUCAUGUGAGUUAACUGAUUCUAACGAACCAAGAACGCAACUUAUCCAUGCACGUGAAACUCUCGUGCAUCACUUAACCAAAACGACCUUCAUACAUGUCGUUCCAGGAGAUACGAGUUUGACUUUCCAAAACGCAGCAUCAGCUGACGUUUUCACAAACAGAUUUGCUUCACAUCACAACAUUGGGGGUAGUCAUUAGAAACUCUGUGGGUAAGGUUGUUGCUGCAGCAGUCCAAGGAGCUCCAUAUAGGGGAGAUGUGGCGUGUAUGGAGGUUGAAGCUGUUCUGUUUGGUAUUCAGAGUGCCCAACAAGCAGCUGUUUUCCCAAUAAUUAUUGAGUCGGAUUCAAAGGAAGUGGUGGAUCUAUCCUUAAAGAAAAAGAUCAGCAAGACUGAAAUUGAGUGGAAAAUUGCAGAAAUCCAAGCAAAUCUGGAAAAUCAGAAUGUGUCCUCGCUGUCAUAUGUCCCUAGAAGCUGUAACUCUAUUGCUCAUUCUAUUGCAAAGAUAGCUCUAGGUUUUGAAAGUCAAGUCUUUUGGCUGGAAAACUUUCCAGAACAUAUCAGGUGUACUCUUGCUAAGUUCAUCAAUUGAAAAGCUUUACUUUGCUCAUCAAAAAAAAAAAAAAAAAAAAAACUCCAGUGGCUGCAUCCACUGGAAAAAGUGGAUGAGAACCAUUUUUUUUUCAUAAAGGUAACUACUCACAUAAUUGAUGGUGCUUAAAUCAAUUUUUUCUUUCUUUUUUUUUUAAUUUAAAGAAUUUUGCUUUAAAAAAUAAUUAAUAUCAAAAUGCCUUCAAUGUUGUUACCCUCACAAGCCCAGUUAGAGGACUCAUUAAAAAUUUUAGAAUUUUUAGGCCUGGAAAGCGUAGUAUUAAACAUCAGAAAGCAAAGGUUUUUAUGUCGAAGAAUUGAUGUCGACAAAAUUUUAUUUUAGUUUUCGGGAAAAAAAAUAAUUUGUUGACAAGCAAGAAAAUAUUUUUUAUACUUUACAAUCUGCUAUACAUAUUUUAUCAUAUUAAAGUAAUUUUAAUAAUAUAUGGAAACAUAAUAUUAUAAUAAAUAAAUUAAAAUUACUUUGAAUUAUUAAAUAUUACAAAAAGAUAAUUUUAAUAUUAUUAAUAGGAAAACAUUUUUUAAUUGUAAAAUCUUUUUAAUACAAAAAAUCAUUUAAAAUCUUUAUAAUAAAUACAAAUAUAAAAUUAAAAAAUAUCAUAAUUAAAAUUUUUAAUAAUAUUUAAAUAUUAAAAAUACUUUAAUAUUAUUAAUCUACUACAUAAAAUAUAUUAUUUGUAUUAUACUCGUAUUGAUUAAAACGUUUUAAAGUCAAAUUUUUAAUUAGUGUAUUCAAAGGUAUAAAAGAUUUUAGUAUUAUUUUUUAAAAAUUUCAGGAUAUGAAUGAUAAUUUUUUCAAAUUUUAAAGAUGUAAGAAUCUUUUUUUCUGAUAAUUUAUUUCACUUUUAAGAGAAUCCGAAAACGUUAAUUUAACAUUCUUUACCUUUGUAUAAAAAGUGAAAAUCAAGAACUAUUCAAUUUUGUUUUUAUUUGUAAUUCAAAAACGUUAUUCAUUUUCGAUGCUUUUCAAAAGAGAUUCCUUUAAAUCCUUUUGGUGGCUGCAGCUCCUGCAAUUUUCAUAAAUCUCCAUCCCACAUCAACACUAUCAAACAAGUUGAUGGAAAUUCUUAUCAAAAUUCCACAAAUAUGACGUUAUUGCUCAUUUUUCUCUCAAGACGCGUGCCUCCUGAAAAGAGAUACAUUGAAUAAGUCAAUUGAUUACAUUGUGGGUAAUUAAUUUAGAAGUGAAGCAGAGAAUAAAGUCCUAGAUGCCUUUAGAAAUUAGAAAUACAUUUUAUAUGCUUUAAUUAAUGAAUUCACUGAGGCAUUAUUGAUCCAAUCCCAGUGAAGUAAUUGUGGGUGAAAAAAAAAAAUAAAGUGCUGAAUUGGCUAUUAAAAAAGAGUGUCACUUGAUCACAAUCACAUUGAUCCACAACUCACUCGAGGCAAAUUUCAUCUAUGUGUACUGCAAAUUUAGCCAAACCAUGCAUGCAUGAACAAAAUUAGGCCGUAGUCCUCAUCACAACAUUAAUUGAAGCCACAAAAGCCAGCAAAUCCAAACGAAAACUUAAAAGGAAGUCUUUUAACUAUUGGAAACAUUAAUCAUUUUACAAUCUAUUACAUAAUAAAGAUAAAUUUUAUAAUAAGUUAAGUUAGAACUAGGGAAGGCAAAUUUUCCCGAUGGGAUGGGAUCCUGCGGGAUCCCAUCCCAUUUGGGACGGGAUUGAGACAUAUUUUUGUCCCAUAAAAAAAUUUAGGACGGAAUUGGGAUUUUUUUUAUCCCAAUUACAUAUGCGGGACAUGAGUGGGAUUGACAAAUUCCGUCCCAUCCCAUCUCAUUACCGAUUAAUAAUGGAAAUUUUUCCAAUUGGGAUGGGAUCCCGCGGGAUCCCAUCUCUUUUAGGACGGGAUUGGGACAUAUUUUUGUCCCAAAAAAAUAUAAGGACGGGAUUAUGACAUUUUUUCAUCCCAUUUGCAUAUACGGGAUGGGACUGGGAUUGGUAAAUCCCAUCCCAUCCCAUCCCAUUGCCAACCCUAGUUAAAACAUAUCAAAUAUUUUCAACAUAUAUAAUUAUUUAAGAAGUCUUUUAACAAUAUUUUUUUUUCUUUUUCAGUUAAUCAUGUCAUAUACCGUUAUCUAAAACGCUGGCGAUAUUAUUAUUCCUCACUUUUCUCAAAAAAAAAAAAGAAAAAAAAAAGAAACAUGAUUAACGUUUAGAGAAAAGUCAUGCCUUUUAAAAAGAAUAUGUAUACAAUAGCAAUCCAUACUUUAUAAAAUUGAUGGCGAUUACAAAGAAAAAUUGUUUAAAAUAGAUUUGAUGCACAAAUAUGAUGACUUUUGGCAAAAAUUAGUUUCGGAAAUGUUGAGAUGAAAACCAUAUUAAUUGAGAAUUAAAAUUAUUUAACUACCAUCUAAUAGAUGAAAACCAUAUCAAUUGGGACUUAAAUUAAAAUUUAAAUAUUGAAAUAUCUAGCAUUACUCACAAUAACCAAUUCAAAUUAUGACUAUCAUGUAGAAGCAAAUGUUUAUGCGUGGGUUUUUUACUUCUUGAAUUUGAUUGGAAAAAUUUCUAAGAUAGAGAAGUGUUUUGGAUAAGCUUUUCGGGAUUGAAACCACAAAUUGGUAGAGGAAAUUAAUUUUGGACAAAUUUUUCUUAUAUUGUAGGACCUUCUAGUUGGAGUAGUGAUGGCUUUGUCUUCAUUUUUGGUUCCUUUUGUGUCGGCAGCCCCUUACUAUUCUCUUGACCCUGAGUUUGAGAUAGAAAUUUAUCAACCUCCAACCCCACAUCCACAAACAAGUUGAUUGAAACAAUUGCUCUUUUAAUUAAGAGGACCCAAAUGAUUUAGGUUUCAGUUCUUAUCAUUUGUCUAUUAUUUCUUUGAAACAUUUAUUUUGAGCGUUACUGAUCUUAAUUAUCUGUAUUUCUCCAAUUAUUGAAGAAUUUCAAGUGGCCACUUUUUCUCCUUUUUAUAUAUGUUUAUUUUUUGGAGUGAUCAAACGGGUGCAAAAUCAAGUAUUCGCUGGUCCGUAGUUUAGCCAACUAUGGCUGAUCCACACAGUUGAUUAUAUGAUACUAUUAGCUCUCAAAAUCUUUCUUAUUUGAGAACAUAAAUUGCCCAUUAAAGUUAAACUAUGUUACCCAGCUCCAUGCACAUACAUUAAAUGUUUAGGUAGUUUUACAAAAUGAUAACAGCAUGCCAAAACUUGAUGUUGUCAUAUUCGACAUUUCAAAUUGAAAAAUACGCAAGCAAUCUUCAGUGAACAUUACGUGUUUAUUGAAUAAUUUAAAUGGCCAGUAAAUCAACAGUCCGUGAGUUUUAAAUCUAUUAUGACUUAAUGUAUCUUUCUGUAUUUGUACACAUAUUAUAUUAUCAUAGUUUAAAAUUUUAAUAUUAUUUUAAAUGUUAAAAAUACUUUAAUGCUAUUAGUCUACUACACAGGUUAUAUUAUUUAUAUUAUAUUUGUAUUAAUUAAAACUUUUAAUGUCAAUUUUCUAAUUACUAUAUUAAUAAAGUAUUAUGGUUAAGAAAAAGUUUUGGCAUUUCUUCUUGAAAAUUUGAGGGUCUGCAUGACAAUUUUUCCAUAUUCUAAGGGUAUAAGUUUGAAAAUUUAACAUUCUCUAAAUUGAUGAAACAAAAAGGGGAAACCAAGAACUAUUCAAUUUUGUAUUUUUUGUUUGUAAUUCAAAAAAUGCAUCCACCAAACAAGUUUUACGCAUUAAUGCUGUCAUAAAACGAAAAACAAUUUGCCAAAAAAGGGUACCAAACAUAUCCUUAAUGUCUCACAUGAUUUCUUAGUAAGCCCGUAUUAGAUAUAUUUAUACAUUUUAGGUAUUUUAGUUAUAAAAGAAGUUGGCCCUCCCUUGUUUAUAAAAAAUAACUUUAUUCAUGCACAUAUGCCAAAAGAAUAAAUAGACAGAAAGUAAAUUUACAGUCCUCACUUCCUCACAAUUGUUAACGUGAAGAUGCAUUACAACUGUGAACUGUCACUACUUUAGCCUUUUUUUUUAAAAAAAAAAAUUAUAGUGUGAUGGAGACAUUAAGGAUGAGCAUAACAGUUAAAGAUGACUCAUUUUCUUUUUAAAGUGCUCUGCUGAAAGCCGAACUUCCUUUGGCUAAUUAAUUUAGAAGUAAAGCAGAGAAUAAAGUCCUAGACGCCUUCUGAAAUAAGAAAUACAUUUUAUAUGCUUUAAUUAUGAUUAUUUGGUAGACUAAAGACCUAAAAGAUAUGUCAAAAGUAUAAAACAGAGCGAUUAAAGAAAAAAGAAAAAAAACAGAGUAUUUGUGACGUAGAAUAACAAUUGGUAAAUAAAUCCUAAAUAUUUGAGUUGUUAAAAGCAAAUAUAACAGAGACGGUAAGAGAGAUGCAGAAACAGAAAACUAUUAGCUUAUCUUGAUUUUUCCACUAUAUUCAUUUUCAAUGCUUUUCAAACGAGAUUCUUUUAAUUCUUCUGGUGUCUGCAGCCCCGGCUAUUCUUAUAAAUCUCCAUCCCACAUCUGCACUACGAACAAGUUGACUGAAAUUAAAUAAUGUUGGAGAUGAAGGGUGAGCCGUCAACUUGUUAAAAAAAAACUCAUGUAUAAUAUUAUCAAUAAUAUAAAAUAUAUAAUAAUUAUUACAAAGAAUCAUAAAUUAGAAAAAUUAAUUAUUUUACAAUCUAUUUCUUAAGUAAGGUGGCGUUUGUUUUUUCAUCUGAAAUCUGAAUAGACCUGAAUUAAUCUGAAUUCUGAAUAGAUCUGAAUGUCUGAAUCUGAAUAAUAUGUUUGUUUUUUUGUUUGAAUCUUGGAAAAUAAGUAUUAAGUUGUUUGUUUUUUUCAACUUAAAAAGCUGAAAAUAUGUACUUUUACAUUUAUAUCCUUAUUAAAUUUGAAUGUCAAAUAAAUAAUAAAUUAAAUACCACAAUAUUUUAACAUUUAUAAGUAAAACUAUAUUCAAGUGAAUACAUAAUUAUUUUGGAAUUUUAAUAGAUAAAAUACUAAAAAUUUUAAAUUUUAUCGUAUAUAAUAUAAGAAAGAAAAAAUAGGAAAAUUUUCAUGUGGGGUAAAUGUUUAUGGGUGAGUUUUGGGAUAGACAUGAAAAAUAAAUUAUAAAGCAGGGAUAUUUUUGAUAUUAGCAAGUAAUUGACUUAAUUCAGAUUUCUCCAUUAAGUAAAAAGCCAAAAGAAUUGGCUUAUUUUAUUAAGUCAAAAUUAUCUAAAAAGUCUCAUUAAGUUAUAAAAACAAACACCUCUAAUUAACUUAAUUAAUUAAGUUAAGUCACUUUAAGUCAUUAAGUUAAAAAACAAACGCCACCUAAGAUAAAUCUUGUAAUAAGUUAAGUUAUAACGUAAAAAAUAUUUUCAAUUUAUAAUCAUUUAAGAAGUCAUUUAAUAAUAAAAUCUUUUUUUUUUAUCAGUAGGCCAUGCUACAGAGUAUCAUCUAUAUUCGUGGUGAUAUUAUUAUUACUCAGUAUCCUCAAAAAACACGAUUUAACAUUUAGAGAAAAUUCCUGCCUUUUAAAAAGAACAUGUAUGCAAUAGCUAGCCAUACUUUAUUUUACCACGACAAAAUUGAUGGUGAUUAAAUCAAUUUUCUCAAUUAAAGCAAAAUUUUUUAAAAUUGAUUUAAUGCACAAAUAUGAUGAUUUUUUGUAAAAAUUAGUUUUGGAAAAUAUAGUGAGAGAAAAUGGUGACGAUUAUUUUUCAAAUGUGCAAAUAGCCUAAACAUAAUCUCUAAUACCAAUAUCCAUGUGCAUCUUAACACCUUUCAUGAUAUUCUUUCAUUCAUGGCCAUUUGUUCAAGAUUUGAAUUUGAUUAUUAAAUUAUGUUCAAUAAUGUUAGAGAUCCCAACAAUUGAGUACCAACUUAAAUCCCAAUGCUAUGUGUCAUUAACAAAUGUUGUGUCAUUUAUAAUUAUUGAAUGAAUAAUUCGUUAAUUUAUUGAUAAAUGAAAAUUUAUUAAUUUAAAGAGAGAUAUUUUUUUUUGGUUUUAAGAAGAGUUUUGUUGGUACAUGUACAUACUUAUAAAGAAAUAAACUUGUAAUUAUACUAUAUCUUUCUUUCUUUGUUCAGUUUGGUGGGAUAUUGUGAUAAAUCAUUGGAUUAAAAUGCAUUUCUAAAUUGAAACUUGUUAAAAUCUAAUUUAUUUGGGAAACACAUGUUAUUUGUCAGUCGUACUUCUCAACUUAGCAAGUUAUUUCUAACUUGUCAGUCUCUAUUGGUUCUCUUAAAGUUAAUAGUCUCGAAUCUCCCGCAUUUGAUAUCUUGCCAUUACUCUUGGCAUUAACAUGUUACCUGAGAUUGGGAUUCAUUAAAAUCCUCAAUGUAAUCGGUGGAACGAAUGGAUUUCUUCUGUUCACCAAUCCACCAAAAUUUCUGUAAUUAAAUUCAAAAGUCAAGAUCUAUGCUUAUAAUCUAUUCAACAGUUAAUAUUCUAUUUUAUAUUUACUUAAAUAUGAAGAGCUAUGCUUGUCAUUAACUUCAAAUGUGAUCGAAGCAGCCUUACAUCUGUAUAUUACUUAUUCCCAACCUUUUUUUUGACUUCAUAUACUUUCUUUUCAUGUUAUUUACUCUUUUUUCCCCCCUCUCUAAUGGGGUCAAACUUGAAAGUAUCUUAAAAUCAGACAAUAAUUUUUUUUUUAUGAUAGAUGCUAAUAUGCUCUAUUAGGCAAUGAUAAGUAAUAACCUAGUUGUUUGCAUUAGAAAUGAUAUUUUUUGUGGUGCUGAUAAAGUGGUUGAGUAUGAUUCAACAAUUUAAAAUAUGAAAACAUGUGGAAGACGGCUGCAAAUAAAUUGAUUGUAUGAAAAUAUUUCAAUGAAAUUUUAAAAAUUUAAUACUUGUUAUCUUAUCGAGAGUUCCCAAAUAAUUGGGCUAGUUUAAUUACCGGCCUAAUUAUUGUAGCCACUAUUGUAUGUUCCCAAAUGAUCCCCGGGUUAGCUCAUUUAAUUGACUGCACCACUACUGGACUAAUAAGUAAGAUAACUAGCUAUUUGGGUCAAAAGCCUAAAUAUAUCAUUUAGUGGGAGGCUCCAUUUAAUUAGCUUUUGUAUAAGGGGCCUUAUGUUAUUUUACAAGGUGGGUCCCCUAUUGAAAAAGAAAAUAACGUGAGUUUUAUUUAGGGCAUUAUUUGGAGCCUAGGGUUUUCACUAAAGGGAGAUAUAUAAGGCUUAUUUUCUCUAAAGAAAAAAGAAAAGCCACUUUAUACAGAUCAGAGAAUAAGAUUUUUCUCUCCAUUGUUGAGAGAAAAAUUUUCUCGUGCUAGUUGCUUUGGUAGUGAUAAAGGCGCCCACACGUCAAGUGCAGAUCGAACCUGAGUCAUAACCUGGAAGAUCAUUGGUGACAGUUCAUGAUCUAACAAGCGUGGUGGUGACGGUUCGUGAUCUAACAAGCGUGGUGGUGACGGAUCGUGAUAUAACAAGAGUGGUGGUGGCGGAUCGUGAUCUAGGAGCCUAAAUCACUUCAGCGGAAAAAGCCAACUCGGAUUUUCAAGGUACGAUUUCUAGAAUACGAAUUCUUAUAUAUUAUAUGAGAGCGAUCUUCAAAAGGUUUUAUAAAAAUUUAAAAGCAGCAUGUGCUGCUGGCAGCUCGCUGCUGCGUAUGUAGCAACUGCAGCGCGCGAGCAGCAGCUGCAGUGCCCAAGCAGCAGCGUGAACGUGGGCUGGAGGCGCAGAGCGUUCUGGUUGGCGUCUUUCCGGCGUCGAUGACGGCUGUCCGGUGUGGAAACAGUAAACAACGGCUGGGUUUUUGUGCUGGUGGCGGCUGGGGAAGAAGAGGAAAAGAAAAAUGUGAUUUUAGGGUUCCAUGGUUUUUAUCGUGGAGGUCCCUAUAGCUUCAUAUUUUUCAGUUGGGCAGAAACGUUUUUUAAUUUUUUGCAUUUAAGUCCAAAAACCGUUUUGGGCUUAAAGAAUCCUAGUUUUAGGCCCAAUUUCAAUUGGGCUUAAUGGAUUAAAAAAAUGCAUAGACAAAAUUAAAUACAUUAAAUUUAUUUUUGGUCCAAAAGUUUUAUUUUAAUAAAAAAAAUUAAUUAUUUAUUUAUUUCCUUUCAAAAUUAAAAUUGGACCAAUUAUAAAUUUAAAAGCCCAAUUUCCCCUAGUCCAUUAACAAAAACAAGCUUAUGGAAGAUGGACAUUGACAAGAAGCCCAAUGAAGAUUAGGCAUAGGGUUAAUGUAUUUUUCAUUAUUAGGAAAGGCAUGAAUUAAGAUUAUUUAAUUGUUUUUCUAUAUGUUAUGUUUUGGAUGAUAACAUGCCAUGAUAACAUGUAAUAUAGAAUAGGUAGUGCCACUCUAUGCAUAAUGAUACAUGUCAUUCAUUAAUUAUGAAUUUCAUUAUAUUGUUUGAAAUUUGCGCAUGCUUAAUAAUAUUUGAUAUCAUCUAGAUAAUAUUAUAGGAAGCAUGCAAUUAACAAUAUGUAUGUUUUAAAAAGGAAAAACCAAUUUUAAAAUAUUGAGUGGGAGAGGGAAAAUUCAAGAUAAUUUUCCCACGGGCUCCAUUGUUAGUUCAAUAAUAAAAUUAUAUAUAUACCUCGACUUCAUGAUACAGUGAUGCUCAUUACGGAGGGUAUAUAUAUUAGAUAGUUUAUUUGAUGAACUUCUUCAAAGAUAAAAUUGAAAUAUUUUUCAAUCGAUUGUUCACCCCAACGGUGACUAUUGAUAUGAAAAAUACGUAGAUUGAAACAAUGGUUAUACACUCAACUAAAGUUUGUUAUUAAUCUUCCCAACGAAGCUCUGUUAACAAAUUUAGGCCCAAAAAGAUAACGAUAAUUAUUUAUCAUGUCUCUACAUGAAAGUAAAUAAUCCAAUGGGUAAUUGGGUCUAGUAAGUAUAGACAUGACUUCCCCACCGGAUAGCUUGUCAAAGCAGUACUAGAUUAUCGUUACAAUAAAUUAAAAUGCAUUUAUGGUUUUUUGCAUUUUUUUCAUUUAUUGUGAAUAUUGAUUCAAAUUAUUUAUGCAUGGAUGUUUUUAUUUUUCAGAAAAUGUCUUCCCUGAGCCCACUUACUAUUAUUCUGAGUCAAAACAAACUCACUGGAGAGAACUAUAUAGAUUGGAAAAGAAAUCUAUUCAUUGUCCUGACUGCUGAAAAUUAUAAAUAUGUCUUAACCCAGCCAUGCCCCCCAGUUCCAGCGGAUGAUGCUCAUAGAAAUCAGAGGAGGCUUUAUGAGAAAUGGCAAAAGGCCAAUGAAAUGGCAAAGUGCUACAUUUUAGCCUCGAUUUCUAAUAUUCUGCAGACCAAACAUCAGAACUUGGAGACUGCCACUGAAAUAAUGAAUAGUCUCCAACAGAUGUUCGGGCAGAGUACUCGCUCUGCGAGACAAGCAGCGCUGAAAGGAAUUAUGAACAGUAAAAUGGGGAAGGGCACAAGAGUUCGUGAUCAUGUCCUCAAAAUGAUGGACUAUUUGAAUGAGGCUGAGAUUCAGGGAGCACAAAUCGAUGAUAACUCAAAGAUUGACAUGGUGCUAGAAUCUCUGCCAGAAACAUUCAAGGAGUUUAAGGUCAAUUAUAACAUGAACAAAAGAAAUAUGACCUUAACUGAAUUGAUGAAUGAACUCCAUUCUGCUGAAGAGAUCUAUCGUGCUGAGAAAUCUCUGGGAAGCAUAAAUUUUACUGAAAAAAGUUCAUCUUCUGGGCCUAAACCGAAAGGCAAAGGUAAGAAGAAAGCUGGGAAAAAAAGACCGUCUACCAAGCAAGAUGGCAAGCCGAAAGGCAAAUGCUUCAAGUGUGGACAGAAAGGUCACUGGAAAAAGGAUUGCCCUAAGAUUGUGAAAUCAGGUAUGGGAAAUCUUUUUUGUAAUUGAGGCCUGUUUAGUUCAGAAUCCUAUUGACACUUGGGUGUUGGAUUCAGGAGCAACUAAUCAUAUUUGUAAUUCACUUUAUUGGUUUCAGGAAACCAGGAAAAUAAGUGAAAGAAGCGUCAAGCUGCAGUUAGGGACAGGACAGUUCGUGUCAGCAGUAAAGACUGGAUCUGUUUUAUUAUCUUUUAAUAAUGAGACUUUAGUUUUGAAUAAUUGUCUUUAUGUUCUAGACAUUAAGAGGAAUUUAAUUUCAGUAGCUUGUUUGUCAAAGCAAGGGUACACUGUAAAUUUUGGAUCCUCUGUUUCUAUUUUUCAUAAUAAGAGACUUAUUUGUUCUGGUACAUUGGAAGAUAAUUUAUAUCAUUUAAGUCCAAUGAUCCAUUCUAUGCAUGACACAGUGAUAAAUAAUAAUGAGCAUACACAUUUAUCUAAGAAAAGAAAUAUUUCUUCCAACCAAUGUUACCUCUGGCAUUUAUGCUUGGGUCAUAUAAACCAAAAUAGGAUACAAAGAAUGAUCAAAGAUGGGCUCUUGGGUCCAUUAGAAAAUGAAUCAUUGCCACUCUGUGAAUCCUGUUUAGAAGGGAAAAUGACCAAAAGGCCAUUCUCGGCCAAAGGAGUACGUGCAACAGUACCACUUGAAUUGGUACAUACAGAUGUAUGUGGACCAAUCAAUGUACAAGCUCGAGGAGGUUAUGAGUAUUUCAUCACUUUUACUAAUGAUUACUCAAGAUACGGUUAUGUUUAUCUGAUGCGUCAUAAGUCUGAAGCUCUUGAGAAAUUCAAAGAGUAUAGGGCUGAGACAGAAAAGCAAUUAGAUAAGAACAUAAAGAAACUUCGAUCUGAUCGAGGUGGUGAAUUUCUCUCAGGAGAUUUCAAAGAGUAUCUGGUUGAAAAUGGGAUUAUAUCUCAAUUGACUGCCUCGGGAACACCACAACAAAAUGGGGUAGCUGAAAGAAGAAAUAGAACUCUUUUGGAUAUGGUGAGAUCUAUGCUUAGUUAUUCUUCAUUACCAAUCUCUUUUUGGGGACUAGCACUGGAAACUGCAGUUUACCUUUUGAACUUAGUUCCAUCUAAGUCAGUGCCUAAAACCCCAAUAGAAUUAUGGUCAGGUCGCAAACCAAGUUUACGACAUGUCCGUAUUUGGGGAUCACCAGCACAUGUGCUGAAACCAAAGGCAGACAAAAUGGAUUCACGUUCUGAGGUUUGUAUGUUUGUGGGGUAUCCCAAAGGAACAAGGGGAGGUUUAUUUUAUAGUCCUCAAGAUAGGAAAGUGAUCGUGAGCACACAUUUCACUUCCCUUGAGGAAGACUAUAUGAAUAACUUCAAACCUAAGAGUAAGGUAAUACUUGAAGAGCUGUCAGGUGAUCAGGUUGAUGCUCAGCUUUCAACGCCUGUUACAGAACAGGAAGAACAGCAACAACCAGAUGAUCAACACAGGAUUAACCCUGAACAACCAUCACUUUUAUAACCUCGUCGUAGUGGGAGGGUAACUAGGUUACCUGCGAGAUACAUGUUUUUGGGAGAAAUCUAUACGGCUAUCUCAGAUGAACAUGUACAAGAUCCCACUAGUUACAACGAAGCUCUAAUAGAUAGAGAUGUUGAAUUUUGGAAAAAGGCCAUGAAUCAAGAAAUGGAUUCUAUGUAUUCCAAUAAAGUCUGGGAACUUGUAGAGGCACCAAAUGGGAUAAAACCUAUAGGGUGCAAGUGGAUCUACAAGAGAAAAAGAGGAGUAGACGGAAGGGUGGAAACAUUUAAAGCAAGAUUAGUAGCCAAAGGGUUUACUCAGAAAGAGGGAAUUGAUUAUGAGGAAACUUUUUCUCCGGUUGCUAUGCUUAAAUCCAUCAGGAUUCUGCUCUCCAUUGCUGUAAUGCUAGAUUAUGAAAUUUGGCAAAUGGAUGUCAAGACUGCCUUUCUUAACGGGCAUCUUGAAGAAAACAUCUACAUGCAGCAACCAGAUGGAUUUAUACAAAAAGGCCAAGAACACAUGGUAUGUAAGUUGCAGAAAUCCAUUUAUGGAUUGAAACAAGCAUCCCGGUCAUGGAACAUCAGAUUUGAUCAAGCGAUUAAAUCGUUUGGAUUCAUUCAGAACAUUGAUGAACCAUGUGUGUACAAGAAAAUUCAAGAAAAAUCUGUAGCCUUCCUAAUUUUUUAUGUAGACGAUAUUCUCCUAAUUGGAAACGAUAUAGGAGUAUUGACUACAAUAAAGAGUUGGUUAGCAAAACAAUUUGAUAUGAAAGACCUGGGAGAGGCAAGUUAUAUUCUUGGUAUCAAAUUACUACGAGACCAGAAGAAUAAAACUUUAGCCUUGUCUCAAGCGGUCUAUAUCGAUAAGAUAUUGGCUAGAUUUAGCAUGGAAAAUUCCAAGACUGGUUUAUUACCAUUCAGACAUGGAAUUACAUUCUCUAAGGAUCAAUCACCUAAAACAUCUGAAGAGAUAGAGAGAAUGAGACGAGUUCCCUAUGCAGAAGCUGUGGGAAGUCUUAUGUAUGCCAUGCUUUGCACUAGGCCAGACAUCUGUUUUGCGGUAGGGAUGGUUAGUAGAUAUCAAUCUAAUCCUGGACCUGAACACUGGACUGCGGUCAAGCAUAUAAUGAAGUAUCUGAAAAGAACUAAAAAUUAUAUGCUUGUGUAUUCUGGUGAUGAACUCAUUCCAGUGGGUUAUACUGAUUCUGACUUUAUGUCAGAUAAGGAUUCCAGAAAAUCAACUUCCGGCUAUGUGUUUACAUUGGGAAGUGGAACUAUUAGUUGGAGGAGUGUGAAACAAUCUUGUAUCGCAGACUCCACAACUGAAGCUGAAUAUGUGGCUGCAUCCGAAACUGCAAAAGAAGCUGUAUGGCUCCGCAAGUUCCUACAAGAUCUUGAGGUGGUACCUGCUGUAACUGCACCCCUUAAACUAUUUUGCGAUAAUAGUGGUGCGGUAGCUAAAUCUAAGGAACCACAAGAAACAAAAACAUAUUGAGAGGAAGUAUCAUCUUAUAAGGGAUAUAGUGCAGAGAGGUGAUGUGGAGGUUACUCAGAUUGCGUCACAGCAAAACUUGGCAGAUCCUUUUACUAAGGCCAUACCUGGGAAACCUUUUAACUUGCACUUGGAAUCCAUGGGCAUGCGUGAGAUGCCAAAUAUGCUUUGAGAGCUAGUGGGAGAUUGUUGGGAAAAUAUGCCCUUUAAAAGCAUAUGUGUUUAUUUAAUUGUAAUAAACAAUUUUUCUGAUUAAUAAAAUAAAUGAGGUAUUUUAUUCAAAUAUCUUAAUUGCAUUAAUAUUUGUAUUAAAGUCCAUUUAAUCAUAUUAUAUGUAUUUAUGUGAUCACCAUGUGGAUUCACAGAAGACAUAAAUACAAGUUAUCUUAUGAUUAAAUAAAUUUAGUUCGCAGUUGAUAAAUAAAGUUGGGCACUUUAUUUAGGUAUAGACUGUAAUAAAUUCAUUGAAUGAUUUGUCUUAAUCAUGUAUGAAUUUAUUGAUGUAGUACGACUACAUUAAACAGGAUCACAUGUGAGAUUUAAUUAACUUUGUAAUAACUGUCAGACUUAUUAAAUCUUAUAGGCAUUGAUUUUACUGUAAUCUUAAUCUUGAGUUAAUUAUGAUUUCAUGAUUGUAAUUGUUAUUCCAUUUGAGUUACCAAUGGGCACGACACAUCCUUGUGGUCAAGAUUACCCGGUAUCUUGGUGGGAGCAAUUAUGAGUAUUGGAGUUAUGGAUUAACAAUAUAGAAUUUGUACAACACAUCUCUCGAUAGGUUUUCGGCACUUGAUCAUAGAAUUCUUUGGCCAGAGUGUGUCAACAUAUUUAGUAUGUUGAAAAUGAUCAUUAGAGAAAACCAGUAAGGAUCAAGGAAUAAGAUGUUAUUAAAUUGAUUGGACAGUUGAGAUAUCAAUUUAAUUAACGAUGUGGUACAAAGGAUUGUGCAGUAAAGAAAUCAAUGUGGCUUGGGACGAAUUAUUAUUCGAGCAUACAAUUAUGGAAGUCAGUUCCAAUCUUUUAGUGGAGUAGAUUUGGAAUUAAAUAAUUGGGCUAGUUUAAUUACAGGCCUAAUUAUUGUAGCCACUAUUGUAUGUUCCCAAAUGAUCCCCGGGUUAGCUCAUUUAAUUGACUGCACCACUACUGGACUAAUAAGUAAGAUAACUAGCUAUUUGGGUCAAAAGCCUAAAUAUAUCAUUUAGUGGGAGGCUCCAUUUAAUUAGCUUUUGUAUAAGGGGCCUUAUGUUAUUUUACAAGGUGGGUCCCCUAUUGAAAAAGAAAAUAAUGUGAGUUUUAUUUAGGGCAUUAUUUGGAGCCUAGGGUUUUCACUAAAGAGAGAUAUAUAAGGCUUAUUUUCUCUAAAGAAAAAAGAAAAGCCACUUUAUACAGAUCAGAGAAUAAGAUUUUUCUCUCCAUUGUUGAGAGAAAAAUUUUCUCGUGCUAGUUGCUUUGGUAGUGAUAAAGGCACCCACACGUCAAGUGCAGAUCAAACCUGAGUCAUAACCUGGAAGAUCAUUGGUGACAGUUCAUGAUCUAACAAGCGUGGUGGUGACGGUUCGUGAUCUAACAAGCGUGGUGGUGACGGAUCGUGAUCUAACAAGAGUGGUGGUGGCGGAUCGUGAUCUAGGAGCCUAAAUCACUUCAGCGAAAAAAGCCAACUCGGAUUUUCAAGGUACGAUUUCUAGAAUACGAAUUCUUAUAUAUUAUAUGAGAGCGAUCUUCAAAACGUUUUAUAAAAAUUUAAAAACCGAAUUUUUUCACCAACACUAUGUAGCUAGAUGGCAUUUCUAGUGUUUCAAGGUUUAAAAGGGUGCAUAGCAGUGAAGGAAGGCAUUUGACCGAAGGGAUAUUCAAUUUCAAAUACUUCAAAAGAUAUAAAUUUUCUAAUCCGGGCGGAUAUUGGUCCAGGACUGCAAAACCCAAAUUCAAUACCUGAAGGUGUUUGAACUUUUUACAAAAAUUCUCGCAAUCUAUCAGAGCGAGACGAUCGCUUUCUGAACUGUGAUUCAGAAAAGAUUGGAGACGCAUGUCAGAAUAUUCUAAAGGAAAGAAGUCAAUCAGGCGUUCCACAAUGAAGCACCGUUUAACAUUUGCCACUGAUUCUUCUUCCAUUUCAGGCGUCAAGACAAAUCCCGUCUUCUUUGCCACAAAAUACAAUGAAGUAAAUUCAAGACUUGGAACAUAACACGCUUUAAUUGUGCCGCCGGCGCUUCUCUUACUCACUUGAAUGAAGCCGCGAUGGAUUAGUUCUUUCAAGUAAUGUUCGGCAGUUUCUUCAUCGUUGUAUGGUAUGAAACCUUCAGCUACCCACAACUGAUAUAAUUGCCUCGUGGACAUCUCAAUACUUGGAGGGAAGACACACAAAUAGAUGCAGCAGACUUUCAAGUGAAAAGGUAACUCCAUCACAGAAAAAAUUUAUCUCCAAACUGUCGGAAUCGCUUCGCCUUGAACAUAAUUUUCUAAUGGCAUACUUCCAUAGUGUAGGAUGAAAAAUUGCCAGGCUUCAUGCUUUAAUCUGAUCAAUGGUCCUCCAAAGAGCACUGAAUCACGCCGAAUCUUCUCUCCAUUUUCCAUUUCCAACGACGCAAGGAGGUGUGGAUCACUGACCAACAUCAAUACUCUGCUUCCAUUCUGAUUAUCAGGAAGAACUUUUUCAAGAUCACUCCAUAUCUUACUGUCAUCGAAGACAUCAUCAAGCACAAUAAAGUACUUCUUGUUUGUUAGGUAAUCUCGAAGAAUAGAUUUCUUCAAUUGAUAAUCUUCCCCGAUAAUUACACUAACCCGAGCUGGAGGCAUCACAGACUUGAUUAUGCCAUCCAAUAUCUUGCCAAAAUCGUAGGUUAUCGAAACCCUGACCCAAGCAAGACAGUCAAAAUAGAACUUGACGUGAUCAUUAUUGUAAGUAUCUGCAGCAAAAGCAGUCUUAUCGAAGCCACUGCUGUCGAGAAUUGCAACCACUGCAAGCCCAGAUGGUCCCUCAAUCAAUAGAUCAAACAACUCCUCCCUGCCCCUUUGAAAUUCAUUGAUAUCGAGCCGAGGUUGUCCCUCAUUCAAUAGGCGAAUGAUUUCGUUACUUUUCUCACUGAUAUCAAAACCAUUGUCGCCGGGUGGAAGUUGUUGCAUCCGAUUUCUAAUAUCAAUGAUUUUAGUGUGGAGUCCAACAAGAAGAGCCAUAUCAGUACUGCUUUCACUUUCGUUUUCACUGUUUUGCUGCUGCAUGAUGUUGAUGAAGAAUCUGUCAAUGGCUUCCUCAGAUUCAUGGACAAAGUCAUUGAUGUCCUCCAGAAUUUCCAAAAUAUCUGCUCUUUCAACAUCUUCUUCAUCGCUUUCUUCUAAGUCCAACAGUUCAUCGAAAUCUUCUCUAAGGAGUUGAAACAAAUGCCGAGCCAUGUCAACUUCAUAUUUUCCCAGCAGAGUAGUAGCAAUAAUUUCGGACUCCGUAAGAAGGUUUUGAAAAAGUGGAGUUAAAUUUGUUGAAUCUGGCAGCGGCAACGUGCCUUCUUCACCUGCUAACACCCUUUUCAACCUCUCACGAAAUAGUCGGAGGUGGACGUCCAGCAUAUCUCCUUCUCUCUGUAUCACCCAGAGGUAUAGUUGAAAGAUUAAACACCAUGGAAGAAUUUGAAAGGAAAAUGCCAAGAAACUGUGUAAGUGGCUAAACCAUGAAAAAUUGAUCAUUUUUUUGCAUUGUAAGUUGCGCGUUCAUUUAGAGAAAAGUCCAAGACGCGUGCCUUUUGCAAAGAACAGGUAUCCCAAUCGGUAUCCAACCUUUAUCUUAUUUAAUUACUACCAUGACAUAAUUGAUGGUGCUUAAAUCAAUUGUUUCUUUUUUAAUUUAAAGAAUUUUUCAUUAAAAAAAUAUUUUAAUAUCAAAUUGCCUUCAGUGGCGUAACAACUGCCUCAAGCCCAGUAACAGGACUAAUUAAAAAUUUUACAAUUUUGGGGCAUGGAAAUAGUAGUAUUAAACAUUAGAAAGGUAAGGUUGUUCUGUUAAAGAAUUGAUAUUGACAUAAUUUUAUUUUGGUUUUCGUGGAAAAAAAAAAUUUGUUGACAAGCAAGAAAAUAUUUUAUCAUAUAAAAGUAAUUUUAAAAAUAAAUAGAAACAUAAUAUUACAAUAAAUAAAUUAAAGUUUAAAUUAUUUGGAAUAUUAUAAAAAAUAAUGUUAAUAUUAUUAAUAGGAAGACAUUUUGUUAAUUUUAAAAUCUUUUUAAUCCAAAGGUUUAUUUAAAAUCUCUAUAAUAAAUACAAAUAUAAGAUUAAAAUAAAAAUCAUAAUUUGAAAUUUUUAAUAUUAUUUUAAAUGUUAAAUAUACUUUAAUGUUAUUAGCCUACUACGUAGAUUUUAUUAUUUAUAUUAUAUUCGUAUUGAUUAAAAUUUUUUAAAGUCAAUUUUUUAGUUAGUACAUUCAAGAGGUAUUAUAGUUAAAGAAAAGAUUUUGGUGCAACUGUUUUAAAAUUUCAGCGUCUAAAUGAUAAUUUUUUUAAAAUUUAAGGAAGUAGGUAUUAUUUUUCCAACAAUUAUUUUACUUUUGAGGGAAAUCCGAUAAGAAAUAUCAUCAAAGAACAUUAAUUUAACAUUCUUUACCUUUAUGAAAAAAGUGAAAACCAAGAACUAUUCAAUUUUGUAUUUUUUGUUUGUAAUUCAAAAAAUGCAUCCACCAAACAUGCUUAUCUUGAUUUUCCCACUUUAUUCAUUUUCGAUGCUUUUCAAAAGAGGUUCCUUUACUGGUCAUUGUCUACACUAUCAAACAAGUUGAUGGAAAUUGAACCCAUUAAGUUAUGUUCAUUACUGGUCAUUGUCUUUCUAUGAGCCACUUAUUUGGAGCAUUAGCGAUCUUAUAAGGAAUCAUGCCUUUUCAGGAUCGUUUUCUUUCAUUUCCCUAUUGUAGUAGUUAAUUAAAUAAAGAACGAACAGCUGAACUUGGUCUAUUUCGAGGAAGACCAAGGCUUCCAAUACUAGAGGAACUUUGAAGAAAAUUAAUUGGAAACCUUUAUUCAUCUUUGAAGAAAAUUACGUGCCAAUGUAACGAAGGCUUUUAUUCAUCUUCGGACUAUGAAUUUGUACAAAAACAUUAACAGAAAAUAAUAAAGACACAGCUAAAUGAUAGCAGCAAGUGCUGAUUUAGUGAACCACUUCUACAAGUAAAUAAAAACUAAAUAUUUAUUUUGACUAUAACAACAACUACCCUCUUGAAUAGGACUCUACAGCAGCCACAUGACAACUAAUUUCUCCAUAAUAUUAUUAUUAGUAGAAGUAGAUUUUCAAAAUUGUCUUGAUAUAUUUCAAAGUUGUAUUAUCAGCGUAUAUGUAUCUAGAUUGUAACUAUAUUUUAAAAAAUAUAAAAAUUUUAAUUAUUGCACAGUAAUGUAGAACAAUAUCUACAAAAUAAUAUUGUUAGGACUAAGAAAAAAUAUUAUUUUAGAUAAGUUAUUUAUUUAUUAUUGAAUGAAAAAUUUAUCAUGAUAAAUGAAUAUUUAUUAAUUUAAAGAGAGAUUUUUUUUGGUUUUAAGAAGAGUUUGUUUGGUACAUGCACACACUAAUAAAGAAACACAAAAAGUGCUUCCUCAAGUCAAUAGUAUUUGCUUUAAUUGCUAAGGUGCAUAAUAACGUAGCUUAGUUAGGAAAUUUGUAAUUAUAUUAUGGCUCCGUUUGGUAUAAUUUUUUAACUAGAACUUAUUUAAGGAGGGCUUUUAUUAGUAGAGUUUUUAUAAAUAGAGAUUUAACAAAAAAAAUUAUAGUUAUUUAGUUGUCAAUGUACAAAUUGAUGAAUUAUUGUUCUUUUUGUUAACAUGUGUUUGUUUUACUUAAUAAUAAAAGUUUAGUUUACAACAUUGAAGUUCAGCAGAGCAUUUUUGCAGCCAGUCACAUUAUACAUUAUACUAAUAGCAUCGGCAAGAGUUUUCGAUUGUUGCAACUUGCAAUGCACACGAUGCGAGAAAAUGAGAAUCUUGUUUAAUUGCAAUAUUGACAAACCUAAUCCUUUCGUAGGGAGUAAUUUAAUAAUCGUUCGUUAGUUGAAGCGUUAAUUUAAUAAGCGUUGAUUUCCCUUCGAUAACUCGAAGUCCACGACGAUUCUUCUUCUUCUCUGCUGCUCAUUACGCUUCUACCCAAACCCUAGGAUUCAAACCUUUGCUUAGGAGAGAAUCAAAGCGAUUGGUGUUGGAGGUGAUUGAGGCUCUUAGAAGCUUAGAGGUGUGUUAAUUCAAAUUCUUUUGUCGAGAUAAGUAAUUUCAUUCCUAAUAUACUGGAUAUGUAUAAGUAUUUUGAUGUUAUUAUAAGAGUUUUUAUACUUCUUAGAAGAUUAAUAGAUUUUCAUACCAAAAUUAGUUUAUGAAAAUGUUUUCAAAUCUGAAUUCUUUUGAUAAAAUAUUUUACAAAUGCGUUUUAAUAUGUAAAUUAUUUUAUGACAUGACUGCCUUUUAUGAUUUUGUCUAUGAAAUAUUUUUGCAAGCCUAAAUUGUUGCUAUAGACUUUCAUGAAUCUAAUAUGAAUGUUUUGUGCCUAUGUAUGAUUUUAAUUAUUUAUGACUGUACGGGGGCCACCUCUUGAGAUUAUAUGGGGGCCACCUCUUGAGGGCCAAAGCGCCGCAAAGUGCCACAUAGAGUGCAAAGUGCCAUGUAUAAGUCAUUAUGUUUUGGCUCAUUGUCCGUAGUUAUUCUGAUUCUAAUUCUGAUCGUAUUAUACGAUAUAUUUGUUCUGGACUAGUACUAGGUUUAUGUUCUAAGUGUGCACACGAUAUUCUGAUUCUGUUUCUGGUCAGGUCACCGAGACUAUAGGUGAUACUAUGUGACAUGAGCUAACUAUCUGCUUUCUGUGUACACUUUAUACGAUUUGCUUUCAUAAUUGAUUAUUCUUUUGAUACUCUGAAUUACCAUGAAUUUAUGUUAUAUAAUUGAAAUAUGUUGUUUUAUGAAGUUUAUGACUUAUAAUAUAUGUUUUUGAAUAAAAGAAGGCUUGCAAUAUUUUUGAUAUCGAUAGGCCUAGUGUAUUAGGAAUGAUUUUACCUACCGAGUUGACAGCCCACCCCUCGUUAUUACUUUUUGCAGAUUAAGUUCCUUUUAAGAGGUAUGCGUAGCUUUGGAGUUAGAGAUUUCGUUUCCGUUUGCUAUUUGAAUAAGAAGAGGAAUAGACUCAUGUUUCUUUUUAGUUUAUUUCUGUUAUGAGCUUGUAAUUUGGAGUUUGAGACUUUUGUUAUUGUUAUGUUUUGGAAGAGAUUAUUUAGUGUUAGACGUAUUAAUUUGCGGAUUUAUUUGAAUAAGAAUUUGAGGUAUUUGAGCUUGGAAUUUAUAAGUAAGGAUUACGAUUUGUAAGUAACCUCAUUCUUCAUGUGCUCCGCACGUGUUAGAUUUGGGGUGUUAUAUGUUUCGUAUAACUUUUCAAGUAGAGCUUAUUUAAAUAGAAUAUUCGUCAAUAAAGCUUCUAUAAAUAUAGAUUUUACUAAAAAAAAUUUAGUUGUUUGGUUGUCAAUGUCCAAAUUGACGAACUUUUGUUCCUUUGCUAACAUGUAUUUGUUUUACUUAAUAAUAGAAGUUUAGCUUACAAUUACACCGGCGUCAAAUCAACAGAGCAUUUUGGCAGCCAGUCACAUUAUACAUUAUACUAAUAGCAUCGGCAAGAGUUUUCGGUUGUUGCAACUUGCAAUGCACGCGAUGAGAGAAAAUGAGAAUCUUUUCUAAUUGCAAUAAUGACAAACCUAAUCCUUUCGUUGGGAGUAAUUUAAUAAUCGUUUGUUAUAAUUGAAUAUGUAUAAAGAAAGGAAAAUUCUAUUCAUAGAUUUCGACUUAUUUUUUGUUUAAAGUAAUUAAUCAUUCAACCAUCUUCAUUUGCCUCUGGCCAGUGCCCUUGUAGAUUAGUUGAAGCGUUAAUUAAUUCAGAUAAUUACAACGUCCUUUUCGCUAAUUAAUUAUGAUUAUAUAUGUUUCAUAUAGCAAGUGGCUUUGUAGAUCUAAACCAAGUUGCUAUUUCAAAACGUUAAUUAAGUGAUUCUCCUCAUUGUCAUCAGCGUUAUACGCUCUAGGAAAAUAGCUCAAUUGUUUCCCUGCAUUGACUUUCAUUGGUAAGUGAUUUCUUAUGAAAUUCUUUUGAGCUUUCCUUAUUAAAAAAGCUUGAGCUUUUAUCACCUAAUGCGGAUAUCAAUUAACUUGUGAAUGAUUUUGCAAUGAAACUAGGAGUUAAAUAAGAUUUUUACAUGAUGAAUUUUUAUUUUUUUAAUUUUUUGAUGUAGUCAAUUUGCUAAUUUUAUGUAUUUCAUAUUCAACGGAAUUUGGGCACGGAAAGUUUGGAUUCUAAUAUUUAUAUGUUUAGCUUUAAUCAGUUUGACUUUCGUAAUCUUUUUCCCCUCAUCAUUAAGGGAUUCAGAAUUAGAGAAACGUUAGGAAGAGGAAGAAAAUAAUUUCGGAAAUAAGUAAGAGGGAAAAAAUUAUUAAAUUAGGAAUGAUUUUUUGUAGAGUAUGUUCCGUUUACUAAACUGAAAUCGAAAUGAGCUGGAAUCAGAAUGGAUAGAAAUGCGAAUGCGCUGGAAUGAGAAUAAGUAAUGAGAAUCAGAAUAAGUUGUUUACUUGAAUUGUAAGAAUCGAAAUCGAAAUGAGCUGGAUUGCAAUUACUUUGUCCUACAAUUAGAAUCGGAAUGAGUUAGAUUGUAACAAAUUACUAAAAGGUACUUAAUGAAUUAUUGUCAUAAUAUUAUUUUAUAUUUUAAUUAUAGUGAUUAUUUAUUCUAAAAUUAUUAUUAUUAAUUAUUUUCAAUAAUAUGUUAAUAUGUUAAUUAAUUUUAAAAAUUAUUAAUUAAUUUAUUAUAAUAAUAUACUAAUUAAUUAUAAUAAUUAUUAUAAAAAUAUAUUAAUUAUUAAUAAUGAAAUUACUUAUUUAAUUAUAAUAAUAUAUUAAUUAUUGUGAUUAUUUAUUCAAAAAUUAUAAUUAUUAAUAAUUAUUGUUAAUAAUGUAUCAAUAUAUUUUAUAUUAUGAAAUUGUGAUGUAUUGUAGACAAAUAAGGAAUUUGGUACAAUAAAUUCUUAAUAUCUUAGUACAAAGUAUGGUAAAAUGGUAUUUUAACUUAUUGUAGACAGAUUAAAUUUCGACACACUUAAUCCAUGAUAAAAUUAAUGGAAAAUAAUGAUAAUUUAUACAAUUAAUCUUUUGAGCAAUAAAAAAAUAAAAGAAAAAGAAGUUACUAAAUUAUGUUUACUGCUAAGAGUGAAUCCACAAUCCUAAAUAAUUAUUUCCAUCGUUUCACUUAAAUUAAAUAGUGUGAAUUUAAAUUCUAAUUUUUUGAUAAAUUAAAAAGAAAUAAAAAAUUAAAAUUUUUCUCUAUGGAUCGACCUCGGAUUGAUCAAUUUAUUUCAUAACAACACACUUUUAUACUUGAGAGUUAUAAAUCACUUUGAAGUUGUGUUAAGUUUUUGACGCUCUUACGGGGAAAAAAUAUUUAUUUUAUUUUAUGUAUGGGUCAAACUUGAAAGUAUAUUUUAAGAUAACUGCUAAUAUGCUCUAUUAGACAAUGAUAACCUAGUUGUUUGUGGUGUUCAUAAUGAGUUUAAUUAUGAUUAAACAAUUUAAAAUAUGAAAAAAUAUGGAAGAUGGCCGUAAUUAAAUUGAUUGCAUGAAAAUAUUUCAAUGAAAUUUUAAAAAUUUGGUACUUAUUAUCUUAUCAAAAGAUUUUUAAAUUAUAUUACUACUUCAACUUAACUCCUCCUGGAUUGAUUGUAUUGAAUUUCCAGCACUGCCAUUGCUUCUACUUGAAAGCCAUUUAAGUUUGUGUAAGCUACCUAUAGUUUGAAUAACAAUUUACUCAUGAAUUGCCGUUCAUGAUAACAAUUUGAUUGAAAGUGCGGCUCCACUAAUUGUCUAGAUGAUUUUUUCCCACAUGUUUGUUCUCGUACGACCCCAGAAUGCUGUUAUAUCAGUUGUAUUGGAAAUUAAUCAACUGGUUACAACUCUACACCCCAUCAAUAUUUAAGCAGUCUACAGAACAUUAAUUGUGUUUUGAAAUUUUAAUGAGUCUCACGUGUUUUUCACGUGAUAUGCAGUAAAAACAAAAUUAAAAAAAUGUGAACAUUCAGCCCCAAAAUCCCCAACUCCUUCCAAAUUGGUUCCGCAGCCCCCAAAUCCCUUAAACCCAAAUCACUCUAAAAAGACUCUCCUCAGCCAAAAAGAAAAAGGUCACCUCACCUCUCCUCUUCUUCUUCCAUGGCGAUCAACGGCGGCACAAGCACGGGCUGAUCUCCUUCGUCGGUAACGAUCAACGGCGGUACAAGCAUGGGCAGAUCUUUUUUUGGCAAUGAUCAACAGCGGCACAAGCACAGUCGUCCUCAGGUACGGAUUUGAUGUUGGUUGUGUUGUCAAGUAGCGAUUCAUGUUUGGAAGAGAAUCCGCUCGCAAGGACCUGGAGCACUUAAUCGAAGAUCUUAAGCGAGGAAUUCGCUUCCUCCUCAUUCCUAAUCGGUGCCUGGUUCAUCAGUAUGAUUAAGGAUGAAAAUUGAGAAAGAAGGACGCAUUAGGUUUGAGACAUUGGUUGAAAAGCGCUACCCCGGUGGCCACGCUGGAAACAUAUGUUCCGUGGCUUCUUGCGUUGUCUGUGAGGAAUAUGUACUGCUGUAGAAGAUAAUUAUGAAUCAAUGGUAAUUGGCGUGUUGGUUUUGGUGCCGAUUUCCUCUUAUUUUCCAGAAAAGGCUUGUAAUUUGUUCACCUCAAGAUUCAAUUUGUUAUUGAAAAUGGAUGGCUGUAAAGACCUACUGGCCUUUCAUUAUAUUAAUGUUUUUGACAGUAAGUUUGUAAUAGUUAGUGCAGGGAACUUAUUGAUUCUUGAUUAUAUAUAACGGUGGCCCUUAUUACUUUAAAAAAAAAAAAAAAAUUGAUGAUGGGUUUCGUUUUGUAUAAGUGUUUGGAGUGUUGGAAAAUGAACAUUGUAUAUUUUAGAUAGUUGAGUUCCAUAGUAGUGAAAAGCUACGGAUUUGUUUUCUUUGUAUUGAAAUGUGUUUUGACCAUUAUAUGUUGUUUGAUUGGUGAUAGUUUUAUGUUUGUCAGUUCCAGUAGUCUCUUAAUCGCCAUCUGGCAUGGAAACUCACUGUGAAUAUGUGAAGAAUGCAGUGAUCAUAAGGAGUAAAUGAACGAUCAAACAUGCUAAAAUUAAAUACCAAAAAAUAAAAUAAAAUAAAAUAAAAUUGGAACUGGAAGAGUAAAUAGCAAAAGAUUGGGCGAAAAUUGAAUACCAUAACAAAAAAAAAAUUAAAAUAAAUUCAAACGACAAGAGCUAAUUAAGAGCAAAAAGAUGCUUGACUUACCAAGAGCAAGGACCAAGCAAAUGGUUUUACAUUCGGGCUUGAUGGUGAACUGGUUGGAGAUGGGUACGAAUGUGAUCUCGUUGAGAUUUGGAGAAGAGAACGGGGGAAUGGCCACAAUAUCUUUGUUACUUUUUUUUUUAAACUUUAUUUUACUGUUGAUCACAUGAAAAUCACGUGCAAGUCAUUAAAAUUUCUAAACACAGUUACUGCUGUCGUUUCGAUGUUCUCGGGCUAUCACAUGCUCGGUACGUCUAUCACUACUCGUCAAAAAAAAUGACACGCGUUCAUUUCCAAGACGCGUGCCUUACUACCAUGACAUGAUUGAUGGCGCUUAAAUCAAUUGGUUUUUUUUUUUAAUUUAAAGAAUUUUUCAUUAAAAAAAUAUUUUAAUAUCAAAUUGCCUUCAAUGGCAUAACUGCCACAAGCCCAGUAACAGGACUAAGGGUACGUUUGAGAUUGAGGUUGGGCAGCUGUACCUUUUAAGCUACAACACUAAAGUGCUUGGUAAACACUAGCUGCUCUAGGUUGGAAGCUAUAUUAAUAUGAUUUUUCACUUGUAUAAUAGAAAAUAUAUUAUAUCUUUAAUAAUUUUGUCAAAUUUAUAUUUACUACAUAUUAUUAAUUUUUGUUUUAUAGUCACAGCUUUUUUUCCACAGCACCUGUAGCUUAAAAGAUACAGCACCUCAAUCCCAAACGCAUCCUAAUUAAAAAUUUUAGAAUUUUUGGGCAUGGAAUUGAAAAGAGUAGUAUUAAACAUCAGAAAGCUAAGGUUGUUCUGUUAAAGAAUUGAUAUUGACAUAAUUUUAUUUUGGUUUUUGGGGAAAAAAAAUUUGUUGACAAGCAAGAAAAUAUUUUUAUAUUUUACAAUUUAUUAUACAUAUUUUAUCGUAUUAAAGUAAUUUUAAUAAUAAAUAGAAGCAUAAUAUUAAAUAAAGUUUAAAUUAUUUUGAAUAUUAUAAAAAAUAAUUUUAAUAUUAUUAAUAGGAAGAUAUUUUGUUAAUUUUAAAAUCUUUUUAACCCAAAGGUUUAUUUAAAAUGUUUAUUAUAAAUAAAAAUAUAAAAUUAAAUAUCAUAAUUUAAAAUUUUUAAUAUUAUUUUAAGUAUUAAAAAUAUUUUAAUGUUAUUAGUCUGCUACAUAGAUCAUAUUACUUAUAUUAUAUUUGUAAUGACUAAAAAUUUUUAAAAUCAAAUUUUUUAGUUACUAUAUUUACGAGAUAUUAUGGUUAAAGAAAAGACCUUGGUGUUACUUUUUACAAAUUUGAGUGUCUGCAUGAUAAUUUUAUCAAAAUUUAAGAAUGUAUGUGUCCUUUUCUCCAAUAAUUUAUUUCACUUUUGAGGGGAAUCCAAUGAGAAAUAUGAUAAGAGAAUGUCAAUUAUUUGUCAUUUUCUAUUUUUUCUGUAAGCUAUUCAUUUUGAGCAUUAGUGAUCUUGUCUGGACUACUCCAAUUAUUGAUGUAACUCCAGUGGCUGCAUCCACAGUUGAAUAUAUGAUAGUGUUAGCUCUUAUUUGAGAAUUCAGAGGGAUCUUCUAUGUUUAUCAAUUGCAAUGUGCUAGUAUAAAUUUCUUUACCUCACAGUUUAUAUAGUCUUGCUGUUAAAGAACUCACUGAGGCAUUAUUGACUCAAUUUCAGUGGAGCAAUCGCGCGUAGUGGAUAAAUAAAGGAUAACAGAACAGAGCUGAAGUGCUAAAUUGGCUAUUAAAGAAGGGUGUCACAUGAUCACAAUCACAUUGGUGCACAACUAGAGUUAGGCAAAUUUUGUCUAUAUGUACUCUAAAUUCAGACAAACCAUACAUGCAUGAACAAAAAUUAAACCGUCGUUCUAAUCACAACAGUAAUUGAAGCUACAAAAGCCAGCAAAUCUGAACAAAGACUUAAAAGAAAGAUCUUAUUCAAGUUGUCCCCAAAAGACAGCUGAAAUGAAUAAUAUUGACUAUUGAUUGGGUCAAUGCUGAAUUACAUUUCAAUAGGAAAGCUUGGCAGCAGUUACAAUGUUUCCCCCUCUGAUUUUCGUCCAAAACAAAUUCAGUUGUAAACAACAAUCGAAGUAGAAAUAAUUUAUUCAUCAAAGAAAAUACCCAAGUUUUCAACAAACAAAUCUUCUUGUCUAAACUAAAAAAACUCAUCUCUAAAAUCUAUCUGCAAAAUAUUGGAAAUGAGGAGUGAUCCGUCAACUCCAUAAAUAAACUCAUGCAUAAUGUUAACAAUAAUGAUAAAUUACAUAAUAAUUAUUAUAAAGAAUCAUAAAUUGGAAACACUAAUCAUUCUACAAUCUAUUAUAUAAGUAAGAUAAAUCUCAUAAUAAGUUAAGUUAUAAUGUAAUAAAUAUUUUCAAUAUAUAAUUAUUUAAGAAGUCAUUUAACAAUAAAAUAUUUUUUUUAUUCAAUUGAUCAUAUAGCGUUAUCUAAACUCAUGACGAAAUUAUUAUUACUCACUUUUCUAAAAAAAACAUGAUUAACUUUUAGAGAAAAGUCAUGCCUUUUAGAAAGAAUAUUACCGUGACAAAAUUGAUGGUGAUUAAUUCUAUUUUUAAAAUAGAUUUAAUGCACAAAUAUGGUGACUUUUGGCAAAAAUUAGUUUCGGAAGAUAUAGUGGUAGAAAAUAGUGAUGAUUAUUGUUUAAAUGUGUAAAUAGCCGAAGCAUAGCCCGUGAUACCAAUAUCCAUUUGCACCUUCAUUUGGAUUAUCACAUUUCAUGAUAUUCUUUCGUUCAUGACCAUUGUUCAAGAUUUGAAUUUGAAUACAAAUUAAGCUGCAAGGGAGCUUACUUCGGUUUCUAAGCUUUUCAAUUGUGAUUCCUGCAUGCCUUGCUCUGAUACUAUUUUGUUACUUGCCAAUGUAACCAACCUUGUAAUUGGUCUGUAUAAGAAAUCAAGCCCUUUCAGGAUUGUUUUCUUUUGUUUCUCUAUUGUAGUAGUCAACUAAAUAAAGAAUGAACAACUGAACUUGAUCUAUUUUGAUGAAGACCAAGACCUCCAAUACUAAAUGAACUUUGAAGAAGAUUAAUCUACUGCUUUUAUUCAUCUUUGGACUAUGAAUUUAUACAAAGACUUUAACAGAAAAUAACAAAGACAUAGCUAAAUGAUAGCAACAAGUGCUGACUUAGUGGACCACUUCUACAAGUAAAAAAAGACUAAAUAUUUAUUUUGACUAUAACAACAACUACCCUGAUGAACAGGACUCCACAUCAGCCACGUGACAACUAAUUUCUCCUUAAUAUUAUUAUUAGUAGAAGUAGAUUUUCAAACUAGUCUUGAUAUAUUUCAAAGUUGUAUUAACAAUGUAUAUGUAUCUAGAUUGUAACUAUAUUUUUAAAAAAUAAAAUAUUUUAAUUAUUGCACAGUAAAUGUAGAAGAAUAUCUGUAAAAUAAUAUUAUUAGGACUAAAAAAAUAUUAUUUUAGAUAAGUUAUUUAUUUAUUAUUGAAUUGAUAAUUUAUUAAUUUAUUUCUAAAUGAUAUUUAUUAAUUUAAAGAGAGACUUUUUUGGUUUUAUGAAGAGUUUGUUUGGUACAUGUUUACACUUAUAAAGAAACACAAAAAGUGCUUCCUCAAGUCAAUGGUAUUUGCUUUAAUGGCUACGGUUCAUAAUAAUAUAGCUUAGUAAGGAAAUUUGUAAUUAUAAUAUGACUCUUUUAGUACAACUUUUCAAGUAGAAUUUAUUUAAGUAGAGAUUUUGUUAGGAGAAGUAUUGUUAAUAGAGAUUUCACAAAAAAAAUUUUAAUUAUUUGAUUAUAAUAUCCAAAUUGAUGAACUUUUGUUCUUUUGUUAACAUCUGUUUGUUUUACUUAAUAAUAAAACUUUAGUGGGUUUGGCUACAAAUAAAAGUUUAGUGGGUUUGGCUACAAUGCCGUUGGCAUUGUUCCCGGCACCAUGCCGGGCUCUAAAAAAGAGAGCCCGGCUGUCUUUGGCUGCCAUUUGGCAGCCAAAGACUUGGUGCAGCCGGUUAACAAACCGGUUGCACCAUAUUUUUUAAAAAAUAUAUAUUAAAAAUAGAAUAUAAAAAUGAAAAAAAUUAAAUAAAAUGUCAAAAAUAAUUUUUAUAAUAUAAUUAAUAGCAAAAGAUAAAGAAAUUAAAUUAUAUAAUACAAACCCUAUAGUACAAUAUGAUAUAAUUAAAUAAAAUGGCAAAAAAUAAAGAAAUUGAAAAUGAAAAAAAUUGUAUUUCAGUUUUAACGUUAGUUAUUGCAUGUCCGACGUCCCGAUUUCAUGUUUGACAUAAGAAGUUGCAUGUUUUGGAUAAAACCAAAAUAAAGAAUAUUCUGGAAUAUUCUCGUCUGUUUCAUGUUUGACGUCAAAGUUGCGAACUUUACGUGGUAAGUUGCAUAUUUCGCGUGAAGUAUUGCGAGUUUCAUAUUUAACAUCAGUUGUUGCAUUUUUUACGGUUGGAUUUCAUGUUUGACGUACGAUGUUGCAUGUUUUGAAUAAAGCCAAAAUAAAGAAUAUUCCGGAAUAUUCUCGUCCGUUUCAUGUUUGACGUUGAAGUUGAGAACUUUACGUGGUAAGUUGCAUAUUUCGCGUGAAGUAUUGCAAGUUUCAUAUUUAACGUCAGUUGUUGCAUGUCGAACGUCACGGUUGCAUGUUUGACGUAAGCUGAUGCAUGUCUUGAAUAAAGCCAAAAUAAAGAAUAUUCUCGAAUAUUCUCGUCUGUUUCAUGUUUGACGUUGAAGUUGCGAACUUUACGUGGUAAGUUGCAUAUUUCGCGUGAAGUUUUGCAAGUUUCAUGUUUAACGUCGGUCGUUGCAUGUCGGACGUCACGGUUGCAUGUUUGACGUAAGCUGAUGCAUGUCUUGAAUAAAGCCAAAAUAAAAAAUAUUCUCGAAUAUUCUCGUCUGUUUCAUGUUUGACGUCGAAGUUGCGAACUUUACGUGGUAAGUUGCAUAUUUCGCGUGAAGUUUUGCAAGUUUCAUAUUUAAUGUCAGUUCUUGCAUGUCCGACGUCCCGAUUUCAUGUUUGACAUAUGAAGUUGCAUGUUUUGGAUAAAACCAAAAUAAAGAAUAUUCCAGAAUAUUCUCGUCCGUUUCAUGUUUGACGUCGAAGUUGCGAACUUUACGUGGUAAGUUGCAUAUUUCGCGUGAAGUUUUGCAAGUUUCAUAUUUAACGUCAGUUGUUGCAUUUUUUACGGUUGGAUUUCAUGUUUGAUGUACGAUGUUGCAUGUUUUGAAUAAAGCCAAAAUAAAGAAUAUUCUCGAAUAUUGACGUUGAAGCUGCGAACUUUACGUGGUAAGUUGCAUAUUUCGCGUGAAGUAUUGCAAGUUUCAUAUUUAACGUCAGUUGUUGCAUUUUUUACGGUUGGAUUUCAUGUUUGACGUACGAUGUUGCAUGUUUUGAAUAAAGCCAAAAUAAAGAAUAUUCCGGAAUAUUCUCGUCCGUUUCAUGUUUGACGUUGAAGUUGCGAACUUUACGUGGUAAGUUGCAUAUUUCGCGUGAAGUAUUGCAAGUUUCAUGUUUAACAUCCGUCGUUGCAUGUCGGACGUCACGGUUGCAUGUUUGACGUAAGCUGAUGCAUGUCUUGAAUAAAGCCAAAAUAAAGAAUAUUCUCGAAUAUUCUCGUCCGUUUCAUGUUUGACGUCGAAGUUGCGAACUUUACGUGGUAAGUUGCAUAUUUCGCGUGAAGUUUUGUAAGUUUCAUGUUUAACGUCCGUCGUUGCAUGUCGGACAUCACGGUUGAAUGUUUGACGUAAGCUGAUGCAUGUCUUGAAUAAAGCCAAAAUAAAGAAUAUUCUCGAAUAUUCUCGUCCGUUUCAUAUUUGACGUUGAAGUUGCAAACUUUACGUGAUAAGUUGCAUAUUUCACAUGUAGUGUUGUAGGUUGCAUGUUUAACGUUCGUUGUUGCAUGUCCGACGUCCCGAUUGCAUGUUUAACGUAAGAUGUUGCAUGUUUUGAAUAAAGCCAAAAUUAAGAAUAUUUCAGAAUAUUCUCGUCUGUUUCAUGUUUGACGUCGAAAUUGCGAACUUUACGUCAUGAGUUUUAUAUUUCGCGUAAAGCGUUGCAGGUUGUAUGUUUAACGUUAGUUAUUGCAUGUCCGACGUCCCGAUUUCAUGUUUGACGUCGAAGUUGCGAACUUUACGUGAUAAGUUGUAUAUUCUACGUGAAGUGUUAAAUGAAUUUUGUUUUAAAAAUACAGUUUAACCUCAAAACUGUAUGAAACUAUGUUAUGAUCCAAAACGUUAUAAAAAUUUUCAAAUUGGUCCAAUUUUAGAAUUUCUAAUUAUUACUUUAUUAAACUCAAAACUUUCUGAAAUUAAGAUAUGAUCCAAAAUAUAAGAAAUUAUAGAAUGACCCAAAACAUUUAAAUAUUUUGAAAUAGGUCCAAAUCCGAAAUUUAAAACAAUAAUUUAUUAAAAUCAAAGAUUAUGAAAAACAACUUAACUCCAUAAAGACAUAUUCUUAUUGUUAAAGCACAAUACAUAAAUCUUUAUUUAAUCAACACAUGUGGUUUGUUAUCGAAAUCUCAAUACAACACAUUAGUCCAAAAUUAUCCAAAGCAUACGGAAAUAACAUAUUAUCCAUGAAAUAUCAAACAAUCAAAACAAAUCCAUGUCAUUCAAAACAAAUACAUAAUCCAAAAUCAUAAUGAAAUGUAGGUGUGUCCAAAUACAAGCAUAAGAGACUACUAAGGUGGUGAGGAUGGUGGUGAUGGAGGUGGAUACGGAUAUGGAAUGCCGAAGUGCUCAAAGAGGAGGCGCUGUCCAUGAAUAAACUGCUGCUGCUGGUGGUGAAACUCAGUCUGCCACACAGAGAGUGUCCUCACCUCAUCCAUAAGCUGCUGAAGAGUAACUUCUUCAAAAGUAGGAUGCUCGGGAUGUGGUAAAGAAGGUGCAGAGGCUGUAGGAGCCGAGGGAGAUACUGAAGGAGCUCGACGUCUACGCUGACCCCGAAAUGAAAGUGCAAAAACAGGUAGCUGAUGGGCUGGAACCACAGCAUUAAGUGGUCGAUCAUCACUUGGAGCAAGAAAGGUGAACUUUUUAUCAGUGACUUUUACCCAAGUGCCAUUACGACACUCAAAACCUAAAGAACUAACAGCCUCAUCCCCAAUGCUCUUAGACGGCCUACAUGAUGGUUCUUGGAUAGUGACGCUAAAGUAUUUGAGGAUUCGGGUGAUGAAAUGACCAUUCAGAAGGGAACGAGUAAUCAACUUAGGUAUACUAAGCAUGUUUCGGACAAUGGUGUAUCCUAAGUCGACUGGACGAUGUCUAAGAAUACAAUCAAUCAAGGCAACAUCCAUAUGAGAAACCUCAUCCAAAUGGCCUGAUCUAUGAAGCACAAUACUCUGAAUAAAACGAAGUAAUAUCCGAGUUUGAAGACAAAGACAUUGGGUGCGAAAAUGGAUAGUACAAUCAUCAUCCGAAAGAUCAAUACGACGACAUAUAUUCUUAACAGCAUCAAUAUGAACAUAAUCAUCAAUAUCAGGAGGUUUCCUAGGUGAAAAAAUUUCUAGGCCAUCAUCGGAAGUUCCUAGAAUAGAGUUCAACUCCGAAUCAUCAAACUCAAUCGAAACUCCUUCAACUGUGGUGAUUACUCGAUUCUCUUUCUCCGCGGAACAAUCCAUAUUCGAGUAAAACACUUUCACCAAGUCGGGAUAUACAUUUUCCUCAAAAACAAUUGAAUUAAGCCAACCAACAUCUUCCAACAAUUGCAAUAAAGUUCUAUUACUAAUACUAAGAUUAUUCAACCAAUCCGGUAAAACAAAAAAGGUUUGGAGUACCUCACGAGUCAUGAACUGUUGGUGAAAUCGUUUGGCUAGAUGUUUGUGGUUCUGAAAGUGUCUGGCCUCAAAGUUGGAUUUAUUGGAUGUGCCCCCUGCUUGUCGUGACCGGUUGGUAUGUUGAACCGGUUCUUUGCCUUUUCUUCGAAUCGGCCGUGAGCUUGACAUGGUGAAUUUUUUUGAUUUGAAGUGAAAUAAAUCAAUGAGAAGGGAGAUAAUAAGGAUGGAAAGAGAUUUUGAGAAGCAAUUUCGAUCAAAAACGGCUUCAGAGGGGGAAAUCUAGAGAGAGAAGUUUCGGCUUAAACCAUAGAAUUGAUUUCGGAUCUAUUGAUUUUGAGGUUCAAAAAAGGUUUGAAGGAUGAUUUUGGAUACAAGAACGGAUGGGAAACAAGUUUCAUGGAUCCAUUUGCAUAAAAAACCUGUGAAAAUGAUGGAUUUUGGAGAGAAAACGAGAGAGGAAUAUUCGGUUUUAGAGAGAGAUAGCUAACCGGUUUACCGAAAGAUAAAGGAGGAGAUGAACAGUUUAUAUACUCGCGAAUCCGGCUAUCCGGAAAUUAUUAACCGGCUAACCCAUUGUAGGCAGUGACCUACCCACGCGAAUUCAGAUUUCCGGUUUGAAUAACCGGCUAUCCGGUUUCGUCUCCAAGAAAAAACAGCAAACUGCCUCACUCGGCUGAGAUAAAAAAAAACCAACUGUGAUAGGGAAUGCAUAAUUUGUUUGAAAGAUGAAGUUUCACUUGAUUUCUUGCCAUGUGCGUACCAAGUUUUGUGUGCCAGUUGCAGUGUCAAAAUUAUCAUAGUUUGUCUUAAGAAGUCUGAAAGAUUAGAAAAAGAGAUUGCUAAGUUCAAGAAAUGAAAGUGAGAUAAAAUUACUUGUGUCGCUUCUUGUGUCUUCCCAUUGUUUAAUUCUGAUAUUGUUGCUUACUAAAUUAACAAAGAAAGACCAGCACAAUGACUGCUGAUGAAUACUUUGAGAAGCAUCCAGAGCUAAGGAAAGAAGUUUGAUGAUGAAAUCCGGAAUGAUUAUUGGGGAUAUUAAUUCAGUCAUGUGCAUUCAGUUAUCGGGAACAUCUUCUUUCAUGCAGACUCUCGAGUUCAUCCCAACCACCAUGCUGUUUUGGUGCAUCAUAACAAGAAUAAGCCAAUUGUUUUACUCCAUUUUGGUUGAUUUGACUAUCACAAAAAAUUCCAUGAUAUUUGGACAUUACUCAGAAUCUAGCUAUAAUAAUUUCUCUUUUCUUAUUUGCCAAAUUUGCAUUAAGAUUUUUUUAGAAGAACUUUUAUGUUUUCACAUUCAGAAAGAGUUAAAGCAAAGCAAUUGCAGUAGCAGUGUGUAUGGAAUUUGUUGAAUGGAUCCAUUUGAAAGUCCAUUUUUUAUUCUUUAAUGUAAUAUCUAAUAUUAAAAAAAUCUUAAAACAAAAAUAUGAAUGAAUUGAAAAAUCAAAGUAGUAUUCCACAUUCCCAUGUAAAAAUAGAUUAACGACACCACUUUAAGAAAAGCUAAAAAUAAAAAUAGAUAUAUAUUAUUAAACAAAAUGAAAGUUGGAACUUACAAAGAGCUAAUAUUAUUACUUUAAUCUUCUAGUAUUUAGAGUUCAUCUUGUGGCUGAUAUUAUUGCUUGGCUACGUGAAACCAUUUUAGUCUUGUCAACACUAUCUUGUGGCUGAUAUUUUUUAUUGAAAUGCUCUUCAUCCACCAACUUGGUUCUUGUCAGUUUGCUUGGUAACUUCUUCUUGUUUGGUUUUGGUGCAUUAUUUAUCUAUUCACUCGUUAGUCAGACACUUUUUUUUUGUAUUUUUUGUUUCUACGCACAAGACUGAUAAAAUUAAAUGGGCUUAAUCUUUUGUCUUCCUAAUAGCAAUAUUCAAUAUUUAUUUAGUAAUAUUUCUAGAACUCUAAGAAAUAACUGGAUUUAAAUUUUAUGAAUUAUAUAUUGUGCUAAAAGCACAAAGACAAUCAUAUGAGUGUAUAUUAUUAUUAAAAUUAAACAAUUGGAUUUAACCUCCUCUUCAUACAAUUCAUAUACAUUGGCUCGCUCUCGCUCUCUUUUCUACAUGCAUGUGUCAUUUACAUUUAGGUAUUUGUAUGCGCGUAUAUUAUUAUAAUGUAAUCCCUCUAAAAAAUGAGACCAAUCACAGUCCAAACAAAAAAAAGAAAGAUAAAGAAAAGUUAAUACUUUAAUGGCAUUGUUAAUACGUCACAGUAAUCAUGUCCCUCGAAUCCGGAUAACUGGAUUUAACAACCGGUUAUCCGGAUGUUGACUGCAAGCAACAUGCUUGCUGUCACGCGAAUCCGGAUGACCGGAAGUCAACAACCGGUUAUCCGGAUGUUGACAGCAAGCAUGUCAAUCGAAACCGGAUAACCGGAUUUCCUAACCGGUUUUCCGGUUAUUGCAUGUCCUGUAUAAAGUUUAAAAAAAAUAAAGGUAAAAUUACCACGUUUGGUUGGUUAGGUUUGCAAUAAAUAUGAUGAAAAAAAAACUCACCUUCCCUCCAUUAAUGAGGGAUUAUCCUAAGGCUCAUGUCCAAGACUUCUUCACAAAAAACACAGUCACUCCAAAACAUAGUCCCAAAUACUAUUACUGCGGUCUCGUUCAACAUCUAUGGUGCCUAGUUUUCAACUUUUCAAAAGUUAAGUUUCUCUCCAACAAAGGUAUGUGUUGUAAUUUAAGUAGUUGAUUUGUGCUCCCAUAGAUGGUUUCAGAAAUAUUAUUAUAUUAAAUUAUUAAGAUAAAGGGUGUGAAUUAUGUUAUUAACAAAGUUUUGGUUGAACAGGGGUUAAAUAUGAGUAGCCCACAUAGUUCCAGCAACCUAGGAAUAUCCAUUGCUCCAAAUGUUGGUUUACAGGUAUCGGACGUACUUGGCAGUCAUUUCGACUCAGUAGAAGAUGCAGAACUGUGGUAUAACAAUUAUGCCCGAAUGCUUGGUUUUGGUGUUAGGAAAGAUGAUAUGCGGCGCGGAAAAAAGUCUAGACGAAUCACAAUUCGACGUUGGGUUUGUCAUUUCGAAGGGGUAAGAGAUGAAAGACAAUCUCAAAACUGCAGUAGGGUGCAGAACCACGACCUAUAACACGAACCGAGUGUCGGGCAUCAUUUCGAGUGAAUUACGAUGAUUCAGUUGGUAAAUACAUCGCCAAAGAAUUCAGGCCUGAGCACAACCAUCAUUUGGCUUCUACUAAUGGAGUUCAUCUCAUUCGUUCACAUCGAAAGGUUACUGAUGCAGAACUUGCGCAAGCAAAGGCAUUAAGGCAUGUUGGUGUGAAGACUUGCCAAUUCAUGGAUUACAUGGCUGAUCAGGUAGAGGGGCCUCAAAACCUAAGGUUCACACGCAAAGACAUGCAAAACACGCUAGAUGCUUCCACUCGUGCCGAGGUUGGAGAUUCUGACUCAGACACAACUAUAGCAUACUUUGCGGCAAAAUCUGAACAUGACCCUGGGCUUUGCUUUGAGUACACACUAGAUGAUGAAAAUAGACUACGAAAUUUGUUUUGGGCUGAUUGUGUAGCUCGUUAUGACUAUCAGUGUUUUGGUGAUGUGUUGGCAUUCGAUGCAACGUAUAAGACUAAUGUAUAUCAUAAACCCCUCGUUACACUUGUCGGAACAAACCAUCACUUCAGAACAACGGUCUUCGGUUUUGCUUUGCUCGCAGAUGAGACAAUUGACUCAUACACGUGGCUGCUACAAACUUUUCUAUCCACUAUGGGCAACCGAAUGCCCGUGUCUGUAAUUACUGAUGGUGACAAGGCAAUGUCGAAGGCAAUAAAGACAGUGUUUACCGGGUGCAUCCAUCGUCUUUGUUGUUGGCAUCUUGAGCGCAAUGCGCAGGCUAAUUUGAAGAACGAAGACUUUACGAGAAAAUUUCGUGAUUUGAUGUUGACACCUAUGACGGUAACUGAAUUUGAAACCCAAUGGUCAGCUGUAGUGGCUGAAUUCGCACUUGAACAUCAUGCAUGGGUACAGAAAAUGUAUUCAAAGCGGUGCAAGUGGGCGGAAGCUUAUCUUAGAGGAACAUUCUUUGCUGGUAUGCGAAGCACUCAACGAUGUGAAAGUAUGAAUGCAUAUCUUAGCCGAUUUGUCCAACAUAAACUAAAAUUGUAUGAGUUUGUGCGACAAAUCGAUCGUGCUCUCCGCAAUAUUCGUACCACAGAAACAUCCGAUGAGUUCAAAACCAAAUACAGUACUCCUGUCUUAAGAACUCACUUACAGAGCCUCGAGAAACAUGCUGCACAAUUGUUCCCGUUAAGAGUUUUUUCGAAGGUUAGAGAUGAGAUGCUGCGAGAAAGAGCGGUCAUCGAAGUAAAAACUGUCAAAGCUGUCGAUGUUGCAUUGUACACAGUGACUGAAUUUAGGACACCUACAACAUGUUGGAAUGUCAUCCACAAUCUACAAGAAAACCACAUACAGUGUUCGUGUCAAAUGAUGGAGUUUGUUGGGCUUCCUUGUAGGCAUAUGUUUCAUGUCUUGAAAGUGGAACAAAUUGAAAAGAUUCAUGACAAUAUGGUUUUUCGUAGAUGGACAAAAAAAGCCAAGGAGCACAAUACUUGCAGGACCACAAAACCAGAAGUUGACACUGAUGUUUCAGAGAUGGCUAGAUUUAGUGCAUUGUCUGCAGCCUGCAAUAAAAUGUGCUACAAUGCAGCAAAAAACGUUGAAGCCUAUGAAAAUGCAUUGGUAGAAAUCAAUCGGCUAACAUUAACUUAUGAACAACAAUCUGAACGAGACGGUCUCCCAAAUAAAAAAUUGCGGAUGGGAACAAAACUUCGUAAUCCUGCAGUUGUAAAAACCAAGGGCGCUAUGUCUAAAACAAAAUGUGUAGCAGAAAGCUCUAGAAAGUGUGGAAAAUGUCGUCAGGUUGGGCAUACAACACGAACUUGUUCUAUUCAAGGGAAUGAUAGCACCCAGCUAAGGUAUGUCCCAAGUUCUUUAUCAUGUGUUUAAUUAUUGCAUUGUUGGAUAUUUCAUUGCAAAUAACUUUCAUGGUAUUGAUUUAGUGUCGAUGGAAACUGUUUUGCCGCAUUCGAUUCAUCAAGCACCCAGAAUCUUGGAGCCUCUACUGGUGUCAAUCCAACAUUGUUAGGUCAUGCAAGCAACCAAUUUUCAAAUGUUUUUUAUUGGUGGCCUCAUUAAACAAUGCCAUUAAAAUGACUCAAUAUGUAUUACCAUUUGAAUUCCACUAUCAUGUACUAACAUGACAACCAGUUUAAUAUCAAAUGAUGAGAUGUGAACACUGUUAACAUGCAUAUGUUCAUUAUAGUUAAAUUAUGUCUCGGCCAAGAAUACAUAACCAUGUCAUAAAUUUAAAGAUAAUUCUCCAUUACAAUUGAUUUUACAACCAUCGUAAGCAAGAAGACAAAAAAAUUCACGGUAUUACCUCCCAACAUGUUUCAAACAUCUUACAACAAAAAAUAGUAUGCAAUCACUUGCAUAAUCAUUCCCUACUAUAGUUCGAUAUCUAAGCGCGUGUUCUCGUGUUAACUUUCUUCUUCUUACGAAUGUUGCCGCUUUGUUGGUGAAAUGACUUUUGCACUUGAGAGGAUACAGGGUUCACCAUUACAGCAUGAAUCGCAAACUGUGCAUUGCUUAGUUCCAGCAAUUUAUCUCGAUUUUGAUUCAAUGCAGAAUUAAUUAGUUGAAUGGCUAGCCUACCUCGUGUAUCCUCAGAUGUGAACUAGUCAAUUUGAAAGGAAACCAAUAUUACUUUCAUAUAAUAAGUAGCUUUUAUAUAAUUAUGAAGUUAACAAAAUUCUGAGUUCAACAAUUAAACAAGUUUGGCAUAGUCGUACCAAAGUGGACGAUUUCUUCGGAAUAAAUUCUGGGCUGUCCAUAUAGUUUAUCACAUAAACCCCACAGUCAUAUCCAUUCCUUUGCUUUGGAACUCCAAUGCCCCGGUUGAUUGGAAAGUCUUGAAACUUCAUGUGUUGCAUAUUGCUUGGCAAUUGGGGCUGCAUAAUCCAAUCCAAGGAAUGUAGCUGUCGGCAAUGUUGAAAACCAGACAAUAUUAUAGAUAUGAAUAUAACACAAUAUACAUAACUGAUAAUGUUAAAUAGAUAACAAAAAUAAAGAACAUGAUUAAGAUACAAUGCGCAUGGCUUGAUCGUGCCGUCUUCUAUUACUGCGGGGAUCUGGAAGAGGAUCCCAUAUUUCUGCACUUGUAUUUCUGACAUUCACGAUCAGUAGGUACCAAUGAGAUGAUUCAUCAUUUAUUGGCACAUAAAUCUAACAUUUCAAUUGUCAAUGUCAUACACCAAGCACACUAGUAGAAACUGAAAUAAGUUAAAGGUUAACAAACUAACCUUUUGACACUUAUGCACCUGUUGCAUAAAAUUCUUUCCACAUCUAGCUGCCCUUGCAAAACAAUCCACCUCAUCUCCGACCAUUAAAACUGCUUGCUACACAUAAUAAAGACAACGUUGAAUAAGGAAGUUGUCAAUAAAGAAACCAAAGCACAAUGCAACAAGUACCGGCGAGACUCACAGAAUAUCUUGUUGGUAAAUACCAGUUCAUUGGCACAUCUUUCUCCACCACCUACUGAAUGAGGGUGAGGUGAUGCGCUUUCAUAGAAAUCACCUAAAAGUGAUCAUAUUUAUUGAGAUAUAUAAUAACAUGUAAUAAACGAUAAACAUAUAUUGUGACAUCACCAAAUGUUGAAACCUAAUACCUCGCCACAUAGAUAAGCCCCCGGCAAAAGAGUCAAUAAAGAAUGCCGAUUAAGAAUUUCGCCGCAACUAGAAACAAUGAUUUCACUAAAGAUAAAACACGGUAAUUUUUUAGUCGUAUAGCAUAACAACUAUAUACAGAAAACUAAUUUCAGUCUUCUGAAUUUAACCUUCCCUCUGCGUCCUUGUUAAAAGCAUAUUGAAUAAGCUUCAAUUCUUCCAGCGUAACUGGAUCAUUGACUUGAAACGGACCAGCUUUAUACUUGGGAUUUGCUCCCCUGGACACUUGAUCGUACGGUGAAAGUUGAUAUCGGCCUGGCCUACGAUUCCUACUUGGUCGCGUUGGCAGGACACUGAGACUAGUAGAUGUUUGAGGUUCUUGCUUAAGUUGAACUGGUUCAUCUAUAUCCUUUAUAAAAAAUAAAUUUAUAUGUAAGUUACUUCAUAAGUGAGUUAUCAUUGAAAUCAUUUUAAGAAAACGACGUUAUAAAACUGUACCUCAUCUCGGAGAUUAGGUGGUGGAAUAGGGACAAAGUGGGUAGGAUCUUUGCGAAAUUCACCGAUUCCUUCUCUUGUCCCCAUCCAGCCCAUUAAUUUAUCGAGGCUCAGGUUCAAUCUGCGAUCCACAGAGUCCUCGUCGCUAUCCAUUACCAUUUUGUUUUUUUCCAUCAGUAGUUGGCUCGGUUUUUCUGACUGGACAUGUUGGUUCUACUAUUUUCAAGCUCGGAGAUUGCGGGCAUGGAUCAGAUGGUUGUUUUGAUAGUGCACCAACCGGAGACUUGGAUCUCAAUUCCUCCAAAGACUUCUCAACCAUUUCCAUUCUCACAUUGAAUGAAUCCAUUUUGUGUUCAAUUCUGUGGACACACUGUGUUAGUACCCUAAAAGCUUCCUCCAUAUUAACAGUGCUCGGCCCAACAUCUUCGGUUUGUUCAAAAUGAGCGAAAUUUCUUUCGAGCUGCAGAAAAUUUGAUUCACGCAUUGGAACCUAAAAUAAAUAUGCACAACAAUCAUACAUAAUGACAAUCAAAAUAUAUUCAAUUAACCGUAAACAAAAUUAAAUACAUGUGUGAACAAGACAAAAAAUAAAACAAACCUCAGUACUGGUCAUGUCCCCAAACUUUUUCCGCCAAUUCAAUAAGCGCCGAAUCUCUUCCUUGGUCCAUACACUAACAGGGCAAACUGUUCUGUCCAUGGAACACCGAUCAUAUAAAACAGCACUAAAGUAGAACAACUGUACAUUCAAAAAACAAUUACUACGUCAUUUUAUUUUUCGUAUUUGGAAAAUUAAUUAUGGCAUCUAAGAUUUCUUAAAUAUACCUCUAAAAACACAACACAACCACUAACUGACUUCACUUGAUUAUCUUUAUACUUCGCUAUGCCCUCCCACAGAAAGUUGAAACACCAUGUAGCCCAAUUCUUUUUCCUAAUUAAUUGCACAUCUUUUAGGGAAUGCAGAUACAUCGGAUUGAUGUAGCUGGCACUUGUGGGACACAAUACAGUUCCUAGAAGAAACAAACAAAACAUGAUCUUAAAGUCAUCAUCACUACUCUCACUAGCUAUUAUUCUUUCACUAACUGCGGCUAUUUCAAUUCCUCUUCCACUUGUUCUAUACUUGGCACGCAGUUCAAUUAUAUCACCCGCUUCUUCUCGGAUGUAUACUGGUUCCCCUCCAUCUUUGAUCCCCAUUACGAUGCUGAAGGUUGUAGGGUUUAAACAAAACUCUCUCUCGUGCAAAACUAUACAGUGCCUCUUUGUAUCACAUUGUUGGACAAGUGUUUCACAGAAGUCUUGUCUCAGGCGACCACAUCGUAAUUCUAGCAUGCUUCCGAAGCUAAUUUCUCUAAUUGCAGCUUGUUGGUCGGCCGAUAGUGUGGAAAUGACCUUAGUGAGUGCACUGACACGACAACGAGAUAAAUUACAUUGGCUAUGCUUAUCCCCAAUUUUUUGUUCUUCAUCUUGUUUUUCAAUACUCCUUUCACCAACAUUUGAACUUGGGUCCUCAUGCAUCGUACCAAAUCGGCACUUCUCCUCAUUCGUUAAUUUCUUCCAUUUUUCAACAAUUGUCGCCCUACAAACUUUUUUGAUCCCUUCUUGCCUGACCUUUUCUGCUUCAUGCUUACUGUACACAACAUUUUAGUUCAACUAAUUACGUCAACAAAAUUGUUAUAAUAAGAACCUUAUUCAAAGCAAUAAUUUUAUACUUACAAAAAGUGUAUCCACGCUCUCUGACCAGGUCCUCCCCUUCUGCCUUAUGUGGACUCCAUUUUAUAACUGUAUGCUAUAUUUUAAAUCCUGAAAUAGACCACACAUAAAUGUAGUAUCAAGGCCGGACCCAUAACAAUGGCUAAGUUCUUGGCAAAUUAUUGAGCGCUCAUCUUUAGUAUUCCUACCAAAGACUGUAGAGCUCAAAACAAGCAAACAACACCUAAAACCAAACAAGAAAAAUUUAGGGUUCCCAUAGAAAAAUAACACUUAAAAACCAAAUCUCAAAAAAUCAACCACAAAAUAGAAAUAAAUUAAAAAAUGCCAUUGAAUUUUUACCAACUAAUGCCAUUGAAACCACGCAAAACCAUGGGAACAUUGCAUCCCCUUCUAAAUAUCUUUCUUCAAUUUAAUGCUUGAAUUACAGUACAUCAAUCAUAUCAGGAUUGAGGAUUUUCUUGCCAAUUUCAUGCUUCCAAGCCAUUAAUCAUCUCUUCAACAUCAAUUUUUCAUCAUCUAAAUAUCUUUUUUCACUCUAAAUUACCAAACUUCUAAUUGUUUCAAAUCUCUAAUUAUUUCACACAAAAUUUAUAGUACAUCACAAAAACCACAAAGGUCAAAAUUACCUCAUCACCUUCUCGUUAACUCACAAAAUGAAAAGGAAAGAGAGGAACUUGUGUUCAUCUUCAACACCUCAGGAUGACAGCGACCGCUUCAUGGAUUCCACUUCUUAUUUGCUUUGAACGAGAUGGUGCCUUUGAUCUUCUAUGAUUACUAAACAAAUAGAAGAGAGAAAUUUGAGAGAAAUUUGUGAUUUCAAAGUGAGAUGUGAGAGAUUGGGAAUGGCCUGGGUGAAACCCUCAAAAAGCAAAAUUUUGUUUUGCAAGCUUUGGGAACCGGUUUAAUAAGUUAACAAUUUUUUCCUCUUUUUUAUUUCUUUUCAAUCUCAGCCGUUGGAUUCAUUUUACUUGAAUCCAACGGCUGCGUUUACAAGCCGGCACAAUGCCGGGCCUCAAUGCCCGGCAUUGUAGCUUUAGCCAAGUUUAGUUUACAAUUACACCGGUGUCAAAUCAGCAGAGCAUCGGCAAGAGUUUUCGAUUGUUGCAAUUUGCAAUGCAUGUGGUACAUGCACGCACUAAUAAAGAAACACAAAAAGUGCAUUCUCAAGCCAAUAGUAUUUGUUUUUAAUCGCUACUUUGCAUAAUAAUGUAGCUUAGUUAGGAAAUUUGUAAUUAUAUUAUGCGUCCGUUUGGUAUAACUUUUUAAUUAGAACUUAUUUAAGGAGAACUAUUGUUUGUAGAGUUUUUAUAAAUAGAAAUUUUAAUUAAAAAAAAUUAUAAUUAUUUAGUUGUCAAUGUCCAAAUUGAUGAACUAUUGUUCUUUUUGUUAACAUGUGUUUGUUUUACUUAAUAAUAAAACUUUAGUUUACAAUUACACCGGUGUCAAUUAUACUAAUAGCAUCGGCAAGAGUUUUCGAUUGUUGCAAUUUGCAAUGCACGCGGUGAGAGAAAAUGAGAAUCUUGUUUAAUCCUUUCAUUAGGAGUAAUUUAAUAAUCGUUUGUUAUAAUAGAAUAUGUAUAAAGAAAGGAAAAUUAUAUUCAUAGAUUUGGCUUAUUUUUUGUUUAAAGUAAUUCAGAUCAUUACAACGUCCUUUUCGCUAAUUAAUUACAACGUCCUUUUCGCUAAUUAAUUAUGAUUAUAUACAUUUUCAUAUGGCAAGUGGCAUUGUAGAUCUAAACGACGUUGCUAUUUCAAUACGUUAAUUAAGUGAUUCUCCUGAUUGUCAUCAGCGCUAUACCCUCUAGGAAAAUAGCUCAAUUGUUUUCCUGCAUUGAUUUUCAUUGGUAUGUGAUUUCUUAUGAAAUUCUUUUGAGCUUUCCUUAGUUAAAAAGCUUGAGCUUUUAUCACCUAAUACUGAUAUCAAUUAACUUGUGAACGAUUUUAUACCCUCUCUUUUUUUUCUUUUUUUUUAAGUACUCUGUUGAAAGCCAAAGUUCCUUUGGCCAGUUAAUUUAGAAGUGAAGGAAAGAAUAAAGUUAGGCCUCGACGUCUUUUGAGAUUAGAAAUACAUUUUGAAUGCUUUAAUAGAUGCAGAGCAAACUGGCUCGAUAUCUAACUAUUUUAAGAGCUAAAAUCAUUUAUUAGAAGUUGUAGCAUUAAAAAAAAUGGGCUUGAUAUCCAAUUUUGUUAUUGAAUAUGUCUCACGUGUUACUGGCAGAUGGCUAUGCUAGGUUUUAUUGCUCCUUGAAUUUGAUUGAAAAAUUAUUGAGGCGGACAAGUUUGGACCAUUGUUGGACACUGAAACUACACAUCAGUCUUAGAAAAUUGUAAUUUUGUUGGCUUAUCAUGAUUUUGAUCGCCUCACAUUGAUUUUCCUAUGACGUCUCUGUAGAGUGGCUAUGCUUACAUUUUUAGGUAUUUAAUUCUAAAAAUUAACUUAUUAGAUGGAAGGACCAAUUCUACCUGUAAAUACAAGUGGCUUCCCUUUACCAACUCAUACAAGACACAACAAUAAUCUUCUUCAGAAAAAACCACCGUCGGAGGGCUAUUUUCGUUCAACAUAAAUGAGUUGUUCCGCCACCAUAUUUUAAGGGUUUGCUUCUAAUACAACUUGGGGGAGCUAGGGCUAAGAUUUCUAAGAAUCAACAUAAAAACCUUGCCUAUUGGAUGGAAGGACCAAUCCCACUUAUGAGUCUAAAUGACUAAUUUUUGAGGACACAACUCAACAGACCAAUAUAAACUUUUGACGUCCCAUUUUAUUACUUUCCUGUGUUUUUACUUUUGAUGCUGUCUAUAGCCCUACUAUUCUAUUAAGCAGAAAAUAUUUCAAGGCACUCUCGGUCCAGUAGAUAACUUUGGUAUUUAUUAUCUAUUUUCUUUCCAUUUUAUGUAAACCCCGAUCUUUACCUCUGAUUGGUUGUAGAUUCUUUUGUUGCUUUGGGGUUAGGGGAUGGUUUUCAUAACUAUUAAGUUGAUCAAUGCAGAAAAUCACCAUCAAGAAAUGAUAAAGGAUUGUUAGUUCUAUCUGACAAACAACAUUAAUAUGAAGGAUGAUGAUUGUUCUGUUCAAGAGUUUAUAAUGACAUAAUUCUACUUUGGUCUUUUAAAAAAAGUAAUUUAGAAACGAGUAUGUGAGUGAUGACUUUUACAAAAUAAAUUACAUGCGCAGUGAUGAUUUUGACACAUGAAAAUGAAAAAAGAAAUAUAACUUGUGAAUAAUAAUUGAAGUACCUGCUAUUGUUAUAUUGGGUAUUGAUAAAUGGAUGGUUUUGGAAGAAUUGAAAAUGAUGGCAUAAGUAAACCGAAGUUAAGAGAAAAGAGAAAGAGCAUUUGAACUUUACUAGUAAGUAAAGGCAAAUUUCUUGGUUCAAGAAAAGAUAAGAGAUAUCAAACUAGCAAUAGGAAAAAGGAGGAAGGUUAAGACAGCAUCUUAACAAAAGCUAAAGAAAAGAAAAACUUAGUUCAAGCAAAGAACAAUGUGCUAAUGUCGUGUAAUCUUGUUUAAUUUCUUUUUCUUCUCACAUUUUCCAGGGCUUAAAUAAUACAAUAUACAUUUUCAAGCAAAGAACAAUAUGCAAUUGCAGUACUUCUGAGCACACAACAACAAAUAAAUAGUACAAUAUACAUACCCACUAAAUUAAAAAAAAAAUAUUAUUCAAGUUUGUGGACAAUACUGUAGCCAUGCCGUCGUCGAAAUCUACUGACAGCUGAAACAAAGAAAGAAUGGAUGAAUGCUGGAUCACAGUUGAAAUUGAAGGUCUGGUAGGUGAUGUUUCCCUCUCUGAUUUUACCUAAACAAAUACAAAAAAAUAAGAAUCACAAAUGAAAAUCUGCUAUUACACUGUUCUUACUUAUUAAAAUACAGAGGUUUCUUUGUUUCUCUGCAGCAAUGUCCAUGGCUAUUAGAAACAAGAACAAUUAGACCAGCAUUUGCAAGAAUCCUUUAAGGUAUUACUGCAGAUAUAAAUCCACUGAGGAAAUGGAAAAAGUGAAUACCAAAUUAGGCAAGUUAAAUGAAGAUUGAGUUAUCAUAGAAGAAUAAAACUCAUCCAAUUCAAUCCAUCAAAUUCCAUAAGGAUACAACUGGAUGUCAUACUGCUGCUCCAUAUCCUCAAGAGCCCGUAGAUUUUGCCUCAACUCUGGCUGAGGCCAAUGUAAGUCCAAUUUGCAAAAGCUCUUUAUGCACCAUAGCUCUUCAGGAAGCUUUCUCAAGUAAGCACAAGGGUUGACAAUUAUGCUCCCAAGUUUUGGCAUUGCUCCAGCCCCUAUCGUCCACUCCUCUAGCCAACAAAUUGAUUUCAGGUGCAAUACUUUGAGCUCCGGGAAACCACAAGAGCAAACACAAGCCAGUUUUCUUCCUGAAUAUGAGUUCUGCUUCAAUUUCAGCACUUGAAGGUGUGGAAGCUUGUCUAGUGUUAGCAUGGUAUCCGCCAAUAACUCAGUAUUUGAUAAGCUUAGUUGGAUCAGACUUGGAGAAGCUGGUAUUUAGACAGGGCCAUCCGAGAGAGCUACCACCUCUUGGUUUCGUUCACCAGCUUCAAGCAUUCAAGUUUGUGUAGUUCGCAUAGGCUUUUGGAAACCCCAGAACGAUAAUAACUCAAACCUCCAGAUACUAAGAGUUUGAAAAUGAGGUAGUCUGCCUGUUAAAGUAGCUCACUAUGCUGAACGAAAGAAGGAGAAAGCUAAGCUGAAGAAAAUACAGGGCAAGAGUAUUAGCUGUGCCAGCUCAACUGACAGCUCAGCAAAAUCAGUUAAAUUUUGUUACAAGCCCCCUGUGCAUUGUGCUGAAGAUUAGUUAGUUUAAUAAUGAUUAGUUUUAGAUUAGUUAAAAUGUAAUCAUGAUUAAGAUAUAUAUAUAUAUAUAUAUAUAUAUAUAUAGAUAUAGAUAUAUAUAUAGCUGCUGUACUGAUAGGGCAUCUCAAAAGUUCUGAAAUAAUACCUCAAUUCUAUGGCAAAAAUAAAUAAUCUCAAACAAGAACCAAUAAUCAUAUUUUGUUACUGUCAAACACAAUGCAUAUGAGCAAAACAUUGGAAGCCAACACCAGAAUACAUAUGAAUAAACAAUUAAAGAUAGAGAAAAAAGGCUUAAACCUUGGGGGAAAAAAGUGAAAAAACAUGAAAGACAAAUUACACAUGUGCAGUAACCAUCGAACUUAUCAGUGACAGCUGCAUCCAUUACAUUGCUCCAACAACACAAUGGCAAACCACCAGUUUCAAAUUGAGGAUAGCUAUCGAGAAUGAGAAAGUGUCCAAAACAUCAUAAAUAGACAUGUUCCUAUUGUGCAUAAUUUACAUUAUAGGCAAAUAUUCUUAUACCAUCAAAGGCAAAACAUGACACUAACAAUUGAUCCCCCCCCCCCCCCCCCCCCCCCCCCCCCCAACAAAAAAAAAGGAAAAAACAAUACAGAAAAGAUUGAAACAGAUAAGGCUACACUGAGCACAGGAUGCCAUGAAACAUAAUCCAGGAACCAAAUUAAUAAAGAAGGAAGGCAAACCAUUAUUUAACAAUCUGUUUUGUAUUUGGGAAAGUCCGAUAAAAUCUACUUAGGGAUAAUUAGAGAACCUCAACUAUUAAUCACACCUCAUAAAUGAACUAACAUUAACCAUGUACCAUCCCCACAUCAGACAAACAUUCUCUAUACUUCUGAACCUAAUACUUCCAUCUUCAAUUGGGGUUUUUUUUUGUGGGGGGGGGGGGGGAUAAGCUAUCGUGUUUCUAAGCUUGCUUACCUUCUGUGUGGGACUGAAAUACUGAUUUCGAAUCAUUAACAGUAAAAUUGGAAGCUCAUGAAAAAACAAUUUUAUCUUUUAACAAAAGUUAAAAUUACAUCUCCAUAUAAAUUCUCUUUUCAUUUCCUUCAAUUUUCUAAUUAAGCUUAAAAAAAUGUACCUUCAACCACAAAGGGGUUUAAAAUUUAAAAUAUAUAAAAAAAUAAAUUCAGAUAACAAUAAUUAAUUUAAUUAAAAAUAUAAAUAGAGAUUACAGAGAAAGAGAAAAUAGAGAAAGACCUAAUGUUGAGUCCUUUGGUUCUCUUCAUAGGUCCGAACCAUUUCUUCGGGCGUGGGUUUCGGGUCUUUAGGAAACUCCAUCGUCAUAAGCCAGUGAUUGUAAUCGCAACCCUCCAACAGAAUCGUGUCGGGUGUGAUCUCGUCGCCGUCCUUACACAAGUGGUAAGUCUUGUUACCCGACGGCGCAGACGAGAGGGAGAUCGUCGGGGACGAUCUGAACGGCCGAGAAUGGAUGAUGAUGGAGGAGGAGGAGGAGAUUAGCGAUGACGACGCCGAUGAAAUGGAAGGGUUUACCAGAGGAGUGGAUGCCGAAAGUGCAGGGACGGCCGCCAGGAGAGAGCGGUGGAGAGCAGCGACGGCCGGCAGUGACCGGCGGAAGAUGGCGGGAGAUGGCAGCGUGGGCCAUUGCUUGCGCGUCAGUGAGUGUCUCGAGUGAGAGAGUGAAGGUAGGGAUGGCAAUGGGGAGGGAGGGAGGGUCCAAUCUCUCCGUACCCAUCCCCCAAUUUGUCCCCGUCCCUCCCCGUCCCCAUUUGCUUAGAAUCUCCAUCUCUGCUCGAAUAAUAACAGGAAAUCCUCGAGGUUCUAAAUAACUAAUAAUUUUUUUUAUUUUUUAUUUUUUUAUUUUUAGUUAAUUAUAUUAAAAUAAAAAAUAAAAAAUAAAAAUAAAAUUUAAAAUAUAUCUUAUAUUAAUAUUGAUCCAUUAUAAAAAUUACAUGUAAAAUAUAAAUUAUCAAAAUAAUUAUCUUUAUCAAUCUUCAUAAUCAUAUAAUAAAAAGAAAAAAAUUUACUUUUAUAUUGAUAAUAAAAUAAAUAUAGAUAAUUAAUUAAUAUUUUUAAUAAAACAAAAUUUUUGGGCUAAUAGAAUCUACCCUGCUUUUUUAAUAUCUUAAAUAAAAAUUUAAGACUUUAAUUAGUUAAUUAGGCCUAAAAAUUUAAUAAUAUAAAUAUUUUGAUAUUUUUUAUUUUACCAAUAUUUAUAAUUUUAUAAUAUAUUCAAUUUUUAUUAUUUAUUUACUAGUAAUUUUAAAAAAUAAAAAUAAAAUUAAAAAAUAAAAUGGGGGAAAUGGGGAGGGGAUGGGGAUUCCACCUCAUCCUUGUCCCUUCCUCGAAUAAGAAAUUGAUUAAAAAAAAUUUCCCGUCACUUUCUCGAAUAAGAAAUCGGGUAUAAAAUUAUCCUCGUACCCUCCUCGAAUGAGAAAAAUCUCCGAGGAUACCCAUACCCGUGGGGAUUUUUGCCAUCCCUAAGUGAAGGAUUUUGUUUAGGGUUUUGGGAAUUGAAAAAUGUAAAUGUUUGAUUUUGUUGCUAGAAACUUCUUCUGCCGCUGCUUUUUAUUUUCGCUAUAAAAGUAAUAAUUUGUUAAUCAAAUAUUUUCUUAAAAAAGAUAAAUUUCUAGAACAAAAUUUAUAUUAAAUCAAAUUGUAAAAAUGUGGAAUAGGGCUAAUUUCUCCUUAAUAUUAUUGUUAGUAGAAGUAGAUUUUCGAACUAGUCUUGAUAUAUUUUAGAGUUGUAUUAUAGAUGUAUAUGUAUCUAGAUUGUAAUUAUAUUUUAAAAAAUAUAAUUUUUUUAAUUAUUGCACAAUAAGUGUAGAAAAUAUCUAUAAAAUAAUAUUAUUAGAACUAUGAAAAGAAUUUAUUUUAGAGAAGUUGUUUUUUUAUUAUUGAAUUUGUUAAUUUAUUAAUUUAUUGACAAAUGAAUAUUUAUUAAUUUAAAGAGGGAUUUUUUUUUAUUUGCUUUUAAGAAGAGUUUUGUUGGUACAUGUACAUACUUAUAAAGAAAUACAAAAAGUGCUUCCUCUGUUCCUCAAAUCAAUAGUAUUUACUUUAAUUCAUAAUAAUAUAGCUUAUUUAGGAAACUUGUAAUUAUACCAUGUCUUUGUUUCUUUGUUCAUUUUGGUGGGACAAUGUGAUAAAUGAUUGGAUUAAAAUGCAUUAAUAAAUAAAAACUUAUUAAAACCUAAUUUAUUUGGGAACCACAUAUUAUUUGUCAGUAGUAUUUAUCAACUUAACAAGUUAUUUCUAAUUUGUCCCUCUCUAUUAAUGGUUCUCUUAAAGCCAAUAGGGUCGCAUUUGAUAUCUUGCCAUUACCGUUGGCAGUAGCGUGUUACCUAAGAUUUGGAUUCAUUGAAAUCCUCAAUGUAAUCGGUGGAACGAAUGGAUUUCUUCUAUUCAUAAUUUGAUGCUUUGGAUUCAUUGAAAUCCUCAACGCAUUUGAUAUCUUUUUCGUUGAAUUCGUGCAGUUAAAUAAUCUCUACCAACAUAUGUAUGUAUGUAUGAAAUUGGAGUAACCAGACCUUUUCAAGAGUUAAAUAAUCUCUACCAACAUUGUAGAUUGCCCGAUAAAGUUAACUGUGUUACCCAGCUCUAUGCAUAUACAUUAAAUGCAUGUUUGGGUAGUUUUAUAAAAUGAUAACAGCAUGUCAAAACUUGAUAUGAGUUAUAUUGUCAUAUUCGACAUUUUUAAAUUGAAAAAUAAGCAAGCAAUCUUCAGUGAACAUUACAAUUUUGUUCGCUCUACACCCCAUCAAUAUUUAAGCAAUCUACAUAUCAUUACUUGAGGAAAGAAACUCAUUGCGCCACUAGGCUUUUAACGAGGCUCAUUUCUAUGAAUCUGGAUAGCAUUAGAUAUCUCUCCGAAUACUGUUGGGAGUAGAUUGCAGUUCUCUGGGCUAUACUACAAAGUGUAUGUACGUUGAUUCUCUGAUAUGAUUCAAAACAUCAGUACAUGCAUCAUUUAAUGAGAAAGAAUAUUCUGAGAUUAUUUAUGCAUCACCAUUUGUAGUUGUACUGACUCUAAUGAAAUUAAAGGUGCAAUCAGCAACUAAAAUGAAGCCAGAAAGACACGCAUGAGGCAGUUUUCCUAGAAGAUUUGAUAUUUCUUUGACUAGCAAACCAUACGACAUUAAUCAAAACACAAUACGCACAAACAGACCCCUACAUACAUACCAGCAAAUUCAAAAUAGAAAAAGGAGUGCAACUAUUCAAGUUUGUAGACAAUAUUGCAGCCAUGGCAUAUCAAAGCAAAUCCUUGAAAUGUGCUAAACAGAACAAUGCCCUGUCUGAUGAAUCGACGCUCAAUUACAAUUGAAAUUGAAAGUCCGGCUGGUGUUGUUUCCCUCUCCAGUUUUGCCUACAUAAGUAAAGGGAAAUGAGAAUCAUAAAAGAAAAUCUGCUUUUAUGGUUCUUAUUAGAUAGAUAAAAAGGGAUCUUUCUUUGUUUCUCUGCUGCAAUGUGUGGCUAUCCCACUCUGUUUUGCCAGUCAAGCUGAGUCUAUGUUGAGACAUAAUUUUGACAUCAGAAGCGGCCUCAAUUAGUUUGGCACUUUUGCGAUAAACAUAAAUCUACUAAGAAAGUGCAAAAAAAAAAAAGAAAAUGAAUAUAAAAGUAUGAUUUAUCAGAUAAGAUUAAAACUCACCCAAUUAAAUCCGUCAGAUUCCAUAAGGAUAUAACUGGAUGUCAUACCGCCACUCCAUAUCCUCGAAAGUCCGUAGUCUUUGUCUCAGCUCUGUCUGAGGCCAAUGUAAAUCCAAUUUGCGCAAGCUCUUUAUGCACCACAGCUCUUCUGGAAGCUUUCUCAGGUAAGCACAUGGGUUGACAAUUAAGCUUUCAAGUUUUGGCAUUGUUCCUCCCCCCAUCGUCCACUCAUCUAGCCAAUACAUUGAUUUCAGGUGCAAAACCUUAAGCUCCGGAAAGCCACCAGAGCCGACACAGGCCAGCUUUCUUCCUAAAUACGAGUUCUGCUUCAGUUUCAGCACUCGAAGGCGUGGAAGAUUUUCCAGAAUUGGCAUGGGAUCCUCCAUUAGCUCAGUAUUUGAUAAGCUCAGUUGGAUCAGACUUGGGGGAAAUUGGUAUUCAGACAGGACCAUCCGUGAGGGCUUGCUCUCAUUCACCAGCUUCAAGCAUUCAAGUUUGUGGAGUUCGCAAAGGCUUUUGGAAACCCCAGAUUGAUAGUAACUCAAAUCUCCAGAUAUCCGAAGAGUCCGAACACUGGGUAGUCUGCCCAAUAUAUCAGGAGUACAACUACUAGGGUUUAAAGCUGAUAUGAAAAUGAGAUUUUUCAGAGAGCUAGUAUAAUUUUUUGGAGGUGCGGGCAGAGUGAUAGAACCAAAGUUUAGAUGCGUGAGUUUUUGCAUCAUCCAAAUAUCCUCUGGCGACUGAUCUAUGUAGCUAGAUGGCAUUUCUAGUGUUUGAAGGUUUAAAAGGGUGCAUAGCAGCAAAGGAAGGCAUUUGAGCGAAGGGAUAUUCAAUUUCAAGUACUUCAAAAAAUAUAAAUUUUCUAAUCCGGGUGGAAAUUGGUCGAGAACUGCGGAACCCAAGUUCAGUACCCGAAGGUAUUUGAACUUUUUACAAAAAUUCUCGCAAUCUAUCAGAGCGAGAUGAUCGCUUCGUGAACUGUGAUUCAGAAAAGAUUGGAUAUACAUGUCAGAAUAUUCUGGAGGAAAGAACUUAAUCAGACGAUCCAAAAUGAGAUACCGUUUAACAUUUGCCAGUGGUUCCUCUUUCAUAUCAGACAUCCGGACAAAUUCCGUCUUGUCCGCCACCAAAUAUAUUGAAAUAAAUUCAAAACUUGGAACAUAACACGCUUUGAUUGUGCCGUUGGCUCUUCUCUUACUCACUUGAAUGAAGCCGCGGUGGAUUAGUUCUUUUAAGUAAAAUUCGGCAGUUUCCUCACUGUUGUAUGGAAUUAAACCUUCAGCUAUCCACAACUGACAUAAUUGCGCGGUAGAUAUCUCAAUGCCGGGGCGGAAGACACACAAAUAGAUGCAGCAGACUUUCAAGUAAAAAGGUAACUCCCACACAGAACAAGUUCGACUGAAAACUGUCAAAUUUAUUUUUUCAUUCAUAUAAUUUUCUGAUGGCGCACUUCCAUAGUGUAAGAUAAAAAAUUGCCAGGCCUCAUGCUUUAAUCUGAUCAAUGGUCCUUCAAUGAGCACUGAAUCAAGCCGAAUCUCCUCUCCGUUUUCCAUUUCCAACGACGUAAGGAGUUCUGGAUCAGUGACCAAUAUCAAUACUCUGCUUCCAUUCUGAUUAUCAGGAAGAACUUCUUCAAGAUCAUCCCAUAUCUCAAUGUUAUCGCAGACAUCAUCAAGCACAAUAAAGUACUUCUUCUUUGCUAGGAAAUCUCGAAGAAUAGUUUUCUUCAAUUGAUAAUCUUCACCGAUAAUUACACUAACCCCAGAUGGAGGCAUCACAGACUUGAUUAUGUCAUCCAAUAUCAUGCGAAAAUCGUAGGCCACAGAAACCCUGACCCAAGCAAGACAGUCAAAAUAGAACUUGACAUGAUUAUUAUUGUAAGUAUCUGCAGCAAAAGCAGUCUUAUCGAAGCCAUUGCUGUCGAGUAUUGCAACCACUGCCAGCCCAGAUGGUCCAUCUAUUGAUUGAGGGACCAUCUGGGCUGGCAGUGGUUGCAAUACUCGACAGCAAUGGCUUCGAUAAGACUGCUUUUGCUUAUUUUGUUACUUUGUUCACUGAUAUCAAAACCAUUGUCGCCGGGUGGAAGUUGUUGAAUCCGAUUUCUAAUAUCAAUGAUUUUACUGUGGAGUCCAACAAGAAAAGCCAUCUUAGUACUACUUUCACUUUCGUUUUCACCGUUUUGCUGCUGCAUGAUUUUGAUGAAGAAUGUGUCAAUGGCUUCCUCAGAUUCAUGGACAAAGUCAUUGAUGUCGUUCAGAAUUUCCAGAACGUCUGCUCUUUUAACGUCUUCUUCAUCGCUUUCUUCUGCCUGCAACAGUUGCGAAAAAGGCAAAGAUAAUUUGUAUUCAUCGAAUCGUUCUUUAACGAGUUGAAACAAAAGCCGAGCCAUGUCAGAUUCAUAGUUUCCCAGCAGAGUGGUAGCAAUAAUUUCGGACUCCGUAAGAAGGUUUUUAAAAAGGGGAGUUAAAUUUGUUGAAUCAGGCAAAGUCAACGCGCCUUCUUCACCUGCUAACACCCUUUUUAACCUCUCACAAAAUAGUCGGAGGUGGACGUCCAGCAUAUCUCCUUCUCUCUGUAGCGGCCAGAGGUAUUGUUAUUUGCUACAAGAAAUGUUAAAAGGAUUGGUCCUAUCUCAAAGUCGUUAGUGGUGUCAAAUUAAACGCCAUGGGAGAAUUUGAAAGGAAGAUGCCAAGAAACUGGCUAAGUGGCUAAAUUCCACAAAUACGGCAUUAUUGCUCAUUUUUAACUCAAAAAAUUGAUACGCGUUCAUUUAGCGAAAAGUCCAAGACGCGUGCCUUUUGAGAAGAACCGGUAUCCAAUAGGUAUUCAACUUUAUCUUAUUUAAGGCAAAGCUUACGUUACAAAUAAUGUAACAAACAACCAAUAAAUAUAGAUCAUUUAAUUAUUAGCAUGACAUGAUUGAUGGUGCUUAAAUCAAAUGUUUUUCUUUUUUAAUUUAAAGAAUUUUUCAUGAAACAAAUUAUUUUAAUAUCAAAUUGCCUUCAAUGGCAUAACUGCCGCAAGCCAGUGACAGAAUUAAUUAAAAAUUUUAGAAUUCUUGGGCAUGGAAAUGGUAGUAAACAUCAUAAAGCUAAGGUUGUUCUGUAAAAGAACUGAUAUUGACAUAAUUUUAUUUUGGUUUUCGGGGAAAACAAUAUUUGUUGACAAGCAAGAAAAUAUUUUUAUAUUUUACAAUUUAUUAUACAUAUUUUAUCAUAUUAAAGUAAUUUUAAUAAUAAAUAGAAACAUAAUAUUACAAUAAAUAAAUUAAAGUUUAAAUUAUUUUGAAUAUUAUAAAAAGUAAUUUUAAUAUUAUUAAUAGGAAGACUUUUGUUAAUUGUAAAAUCUUUUUAAUCCAAAGAUUUAUUUAAAAUUCUUAUAAUAAAUACAAAUAUAAAAUUAAAUAUCAAAAUUUAAAAUUUUUAAUAUUAUUUAAAUUUUAAAAAUACUUUAAUGUUAUUAGUCUUCUACAUAAAUUAUAUUAUUUAUAUUAUAUUUGUAUUGAUUAAAAUCUUUUAAAGUCGAUCUUCUAGUUAUUAUAUGCAAAAGGUAUUAUAUCAUAUUACAAUUUUUUUAAAUUUUAGGGAUGUAGGUUACGAUGAUUUAUUUCACUUUUGACGAAAUCCAAUGAGAAAUAUGAUAAGAGAAAGUCAAUUUAACGUUCUCUACCUUUAUGAAAAAAAAAAUAAAAACUAAGAAUUAUUUAAUUUUAUAUUUUUUGCAUCCACCAAAUAAGUUUUGCACAUUUAUGUUAUCAUAAAACGAAAAAAAGGGUUUACCAAAAAAUGGUACCAAGCAUACCUUUAAUGUCCCACGUGAUUUCUUAUUAAGCCCAAUAUUAGAUAUAUUUAUAGAUUUUACUGCAUAAGUAUUUUAAUUAUAAAAGAAGUUGGUCCUUCCUCUAGUUACAAAAGAUAACUUUAUUUCAAGACUACCACUAAAUUCUUACGGAGAAUUAGUGCAAGGCCAAGAGAGAGUAACACAAUUUUACUUUUCCAUUACCAUUUUGAAAAUAGAAAGAUAUGGAUCCGUGUAUUUAAGAGUUAUUGUAAAAAUCAUACAAUUCAAUUUCCUGACGUGUAUUAUGUAUAUUUAGGCACAUUUGCCAAAAGCGUAAAUAGAUAGAAAGUAAAUUUACAAUCCACCCUUACUCACAAUUAUUGAAGUGAAGAUGCAUUACAACUGUCACUGCUUUAACUACAUUUAUUUAUUUAUUUGUUUUAAAUAAAAGUGUGAGAGAGACGGUGAACAUCAUGGACGAUAACAAAGGUUAAAGCCUAAAGGUGACCCAUUUUCUUUUUUAAAGUGCUCUGCUGAAAGCCAAACUUCCUUUGGAUCCGCCUAAGUUACUGCUGACGCAACUUACAGCUGCUUUGUAAAAUUUUAUAAAGCCCCUUAUACUCUAUAUUAUUACGUUAUAACUUAACUUACUAUGAGAUUUAUCUUACUUAUUUAUAAUUUGUUCAUAAAUAUUAUAAAACUUUCUGCAUUAUAUAAUUUUAUUGAGCCCCUUAUACUAUAUUUUAUUUCAUUGAAACCCUUAGAGUACUAAUUCGCCCUCUAUAAUUUUAAAUUCCUAAAAUAUCCUCCAUUUAAUUAAAAAUAUAAUAAUUAUUAAAUGGAUUAUAAUUAUAAUUAUUAUUUUAUUAUAAUUAUUAUUAAAUGGAUUAUAAUUAUCUGGAGUACAAAUUCAGUAAUAAACAAUAACUGAAGUAUUAACAAUUUAUUCAUCAAAUAAAAUACUCGAGAUUUCAGCUGACAAAUCCUCUUGUCUAAACUAAAAAACUCAUAUCCCUAAAAUCUAUUUGUGAAAUGUUAGAGAUGAGUGGUGAUUUGUCAACUGGGUAAAUAUAUUUAUGCAUAAUAUUUCCGGUAUUGAUAAAUUACAUAAUAAUUAUUACAAAGAAAUCAUAAAUUGGAAACAUUAAUCAUUUUACAAUAUGUUACAUAAGUAAGAUAAAUCUCAUAGUAAGUUAAGUUAUAACGUAAUAAAUAUUUUCAACAUAUAAUUAUUUAAGAAGUCAUUUAACAAUAAUAUUUUUUAUAUUUCAGUUGAUCAUGUCAUAUAGCGUUAUCUAAACUCUUGGCCAUAUUAUUAUUACUCAAUUUUUCUCCCAAAAAAAAAAACAAAAAUGAUUAACGAUUAGAGAAAAGUCAUGCCUUUUAGAAAGAAUACGUAUACAGCCUAUCCCAUACUUUUAUCUUUACCAUGAUGGGGGAUUAAAUUUAUUUUUUAAAUUAAAUUUAAUGCACAAUUAUGAUGACUUUUUGCAAAAAUUAGUUUCGGAAGAUAUAGUGGUAGAAAAUAGUGAUGAUUAUUGUUUAAAUGUGUAAAUAGUUUAAGCAUAGCCCGUAAUACCAAUAUUCAUUUGCACCUUCAUUUGGAUUAUCAUAUUUUAUGAUGUUCUUUCAUUCAUAACCAUUGUUCAAAAUUUGGAUUUGAUCAUAAAACAAAGCUAAAAAAUAUUAGAGAUACUAACAAUUGAGUCCCAUUUUAAGUCCCAAUACAAUGUGUCAUUUCCCAAUGCUGUAUCAUUUUAGGUGAUGAAUUUCAGAAUUAAUAAUUAGUUCAGACUUAAAUUAAGAUUUAGUUAUUAAGAUAUCUAGCAUCACUCAAUCACAAUAAACAAUAACCAAUUCAAAUUGGAACGGAAUAUUGUAUUUUCUUUUAAUUAAUUAUGAUGCAUAAGCAAGUAUUUGUGCUUGGGUUUUUUACUUCUUGAUUUUGUUUGGAAAAAUUUAUGAGACAAAGAAGUGUUUUGGAUAAUUUUUUCGGGAUUGAAAAUUUGAAACCACAACUUGGUAGAAGAAAUUAGUUGUGAACAAUUUUUUCUUAUAUUGUAGGACCUUCUAGUUGGAGUAGUGAUGGCUUUGUCUUCAUUUUUGGUUCCAUUUGUGUCGGCAGCCCCUUACUAUUCUCUUGACCCUGAGUUUGAGAUGAAAAUUUAUCAACCUCCAACCCCACAUCCAAAAACAAGUUGAUUGAAACAAUUGCUCUUUAAAUUAAGCGGACCCAAAUGAGUUAGGUUUCAGUUCUUAUCAUUUGUCUAUUAUUUCUUUGAAACAUGUAUUUUGAGCAUUACUGAUCUUAAUUAUCUGUAUUUCUCCAAUUAUUGAAGAAUUUCAUGUGGCCACUUUUUCUCCUUUUAAAAUAUGUUUAUUUUUUGGAGUGAUCAAACGGGUGUAGAAUCAAGUAAUCGCUGGUCUGUAGUUUAGCCAAUGAUGGCUCAUCCACACAGUUGAAUAUAUGAUACAAUUAGCUCUCAAAAUCUUUCUUAUUUGAGAACAUAAAUUGCCCAUUAAAGUUAAACUAUGUUACCCAGCUCCAUGCACAUACAUUAAAUGUGUAGGUAGUUUUACAAAAUGAUAACAGCAUGCCAAAACUCGUUGUUGUCAUAUUCGACAUUUCAAAUUGAAAAAUAUGCAAGCAAUCUUCAGUGAACAUUACAUGUUUAUUCAAUAAUUUAAAUGGCCAGUAAAUCAACAGUCCAUGAGUUUUAAAUCUAUUAUGACUUAAUGUAUCUUUCUGUAUUCGUACACAGGUUAUAUUAUCAUAGUUUAAAAUUUUAAUAUUAUUUUAAAUGUUAAAAAUACUUUAAUGCUAUUAGUUUACUACACAGGUUAUAUUAUUUAUAAUAUAUUUGUAUUAAUUAAAACUUUUAAUGUCAAUUUUUCCAAAUUCUAAGGGUAUAGGUUUGAAAAUUUAACGUUCUCUAAAUUAAUGAAACAAAAGGGGGGAAACCAAAAACUAUUCAAUUUUGUAUUUUUUGUUUGUAAUUCAAAAAAUACAUCCACCAAACAAGUUUUACGCAUUAAUGCUGUCAUAAAACGAAAAACAGUUUGCCAAAAAAUGGUACCAAACAUAUCCUUAAUGUCUCACAUGAUUUCUUAGUAAGUCCAUAUUAGAUAUAUUUAUACAUUUUAGGUAUUUUAGUUAUAAAAGAAGUUGGUCCUCCCCCUGUUUAUAAAAAAAUAACUUUAUUUCGAGAUUGCCACUAAACUCUUAUAUAGAAUUAGUGUAAUGUUAAGAGAGAGUAACACAGUUUUCCAUUACCAUCUUUGAAAAUAGAGAGAUAUGGAUAUGCAUGCAUUUAAGAGUUAUCGUGAAAAUCAUACAAUUCAAUUUCCUGACAUAUAUUUAUGAGCAUAUGCCAAAAGAAUAAAUAGACAGAAAGUAAAUUUACAGUCCUCACUUCCUCACAAUUGUUAACGUGAAGAUGCAUUACAACUGUGAACUGUCACUGCUUUAGCCUUUUUUUUUUAAUUAUAGUGUGAUGGAGACAUUAAGGCUGAGCAUAAAAGUUAAAGCUGACCCAUUUUCUUUUUAAAGUGCUCUGCUGAAAGCCAAACUUCCUUUGGCUAAUUAAUUUAGAAGUAAAGCAGAGAUUAAAGUCCUAGACGCCUUCUGAAAUUAGAAAUACAUUUUAUAUGCUUUAAUUAUGAUUAUUUGGUAGACCAUAGACCUAGAAGACAUGUCAAAAGUAUAAAACAGAGCGAUUAAAGAAAAAAGAAAAAAAAAAGAGUAUUUGUGACGUAGAAUAACAAAUGGUAACUAAAAUCCUAAAUAUUUGAGUUGUUAAAAGUAAAUAUAACAGAGACGGUAAGAGAGAUGCAGAAACAGAAAACUAUUAGCUUAUCUUGAUUUUCCCACUAUAUUCAUUUUCGAUGCUUUUCGAACGAGAUUCUUUUAAUCCUUCUGGUGUAUGCAGCCCCGGCUCUUCUUAUAAAUCUCCAUCCCACAUCUGCACUACGAACAAGUUGAUUGAAAUUAAAUAAUGUUGGAGAUGAGAGGUGAGUCGUCAACUCGGUAAAAACAAUCAUGUAUAAUAUUAUUAAUAAUAUAAAAUAUAUAAUAAUCAUUACAAAGAAUCAUAAAUUAGAAAAAUUAAUUAUUUUACAAUCUAUUUCUUAAGUAAGAUAAAUCUCGUAAUAAGUUAAGUUAAUAACGUAAAAAAAAAUUCAAUUUAUAAUCAUUUAAGAAGUCAUUUAACAAUAAAAUCUUUCUUUUGAUCAGUAGGCCAUGUCACAAAGUAUCAUAUAUAUUCGUGGUGAUAUUAUUACUACUCCGUAUUCUCAAAAAACAUGAUUUAACAUUUAGAGAAAAUUCCUACCUUUUAAAAAGAACAUGUGUGCAACAACUACCCAUACUUGAUCUUACCAUGACAAAACUAAUGGAGACUAAAUCAAUUUUCUCGAUUAAAGCAAAAUUUCUUAAUAUUGAUUUAAUCCAAAAAUAUGAUGACUUUUUGCAAAAAUUAGUUUUGGAAAAUAUAGUGAGAGAAAAUAGUGACGAUUAUUGUUUAGAUGUGUAAAUAGCCUAAACAUAAUCCCUAAUACCAAUAUUCAUGUGCAUCUUAACACCUUUCGUGUUAUUCUUUCAUUCAUGGUCACUGGUUCGAGAUUUGAAUUUGAUCAUUAAAUCAUGUUCAAUGAUAUUAGAGAUCCCAACAAUUGAGUACAAACUUAAAUCCUAAUGCUAUGUGUCAUUGAGCAAUGUUGUGUCAUUUUUUGUUAACUGGGUGAUGAAUUUCUAGUUGAUAAAAUUACUUAAAAAUAUCUUUAAAAUCAGACAAUAGUUUGCUUAAUUUUUUGAAGCUAACUGCUCAAGAUGCUCUAUUAGAAAUGAUAACCUAAUUAUAUUCAUCAAAAAUGAUUUUUUUUUUUUUUUGCGGUGUUGAUAGUGAGAUUAUCAUUCAACAUGUUAAAAUAUGAAAACAUAUGGAGGAAGGUUGUAAAUUGAUUGAAUGAAAAUAUUUCAGUGAAGUCUAAAAAAUUUGGUACUUGUUAUCUUAUCGAAAGUUUUCUAAAUUACAUUCGUGGCACUGCCACUGCUUUUAUGUGCAGGUCAUUAAAAUUUGUGUUAGUUACCUAUAUGUUGAAUAACAAUUUUAUUCAUGAAUUGUUGCUCAAUAUAGCAAUUUGAUUGAAAGUGCGGCUGCACUAAUUUUCUAGAUGAAUUUUCCUACAUGUUUGUCCUCAUAUGACCUAGAAUGUUGUUAUAUCAAUUGUAUUGGAAAUUAUUAAAGUGGGUUAGUGUUGUACAUCCCCACCAAAAUUUAAGCAAUAUGUUAUAACUCCUUAUAGCUAUAUAAGAUACUUCAGGAAAUGCUUUGAUGAAUUGGAUUUGAAAGAGCAGAACAAGUUAAUCCAACAAGAAAGAAAUCACAAGAAUUAGACACAGAGCACAAUUCUAAGUACACAACUUGAUGAAGGAAAAAACUGCUCUUUUAUUGAUCUCAACAAUCGAAAUAUAGGUUGAUUACAAAGAAGGAAUUACAAGGAUCACAAAGAACCAAAUUGCAAGCAAAAUGAAGAAAAUAUCGAUAUGAUAUUAGAGGCUAGUCACAAGUGCCUUUUAUUAUGAUCUUUCUAGAAAACGUCAUAACGAACUCUCAACGAAUUCUGCCACAUCAGCAUAAGUUUUUCAACAAGACCCCUCCAAUUGAAGUCGAUCUGCACAUUGCCCUAAGAAUUCUCCAAAUUUUGCAUUUAAACCUAACAUACCAGCAACUUAUUUCCUCACACUUUCCACCUUGCAGACUCAAUUCAGUUGAUCAUUUCAAUUAUGUAGCGUAAAAAAACCUUCAAAACACACAGUUUCGGAACUAAAGCUACUGCCAACACCAAUUAAGUUUACACAGAACUUAAAUUUGGUUGUUCGUAGUGCUUUUGUUAACAUAUCAACAGGAUUGAUAUUUGUAUGUAUUUUAGUUACUACAACUGCCCUUUUGCAACCUUAUCCUUGAAAAAGUGCAACUUUACUUCAAUGUGUUUGGUUCUCUCAUGAUAAACCUAGUUUUUGAUGAGCUGAAUGGCACUCUGAUUGUCACAAAAAAUCUACAUUGUCCUUUGCUUCAACCAGAGCUCAUUUAGUAACCCUCUCAACCACAUUGAUUCUUUUACUGCCUCUGUUGCAGCAACAAAUUCUGCCUCAGUAGAUGACAAAGCUACUAUGUGCUGUAGAGUAGCUUUCCAUCCAACAUGAAUAGAUAUCCAGAGAUAGAUUUUCUUCUGUCCAAGUCACCUGCAAAAUCAGAGUCAAUAUAGCCUCUAACUUCACAGACCUCCUACUUGAAUUUUCCAUACAUAAGUCCAUGAUCUAAAGUGCCUUUCAAGUACCUCAUAACCUAUUUCAUAGCAUCCCAAUGAAGCUUACCAGGAUUACUCAUAAACCUGCUCACAACACUUACUGCAUAAGCUAUGUCUGUUCUGGUGCAAACCAUUGCAUACAUCAAGCUUCCUACAACUUGUGAAUAUGGUAUUUCAGCCAUUUGUAACUUCUCAGCAUCUGAUGUUGGAGACAUGUCAUCAGAGAGUCUAAAUUGAGCUCCUAAAGGUGUCAUUACUGGUUUUGAAUCCAUCAUCCCAAACCUUUCCAGCACCUUGCUGACAUAUCUUGAUUGGCUUAGAAAUAAGGUACCAACAGCUAUAUCUUUGAAAAUAUCUAUACCAAGGAUCCUCUUGGCACUGUCGAGAUCCUUUAUUUCAAAUUCCCCCUCAAGCAGAUUCUUAAGCUUUUUAAUAUAGAUCACUAAGAUUUUUACCAGCAAUAAGUAUGUCAUCAACAUACAAUAAAAGAUACAUAGCUCCACUUGAGUUUAUAAUCUCAUGAUAGAAACAACUAUCAUAUUUGCUCAUGUGAUAGCCAUUUGAGAUCAUAAACUGGUCAAAUCUCCUAUACCAUUGCCUAAGAGACUAUCUCAAGCCAUAUAGAGAUUUAUGUAGAAGGCACACAUAAUCCUCAUAUCCCUUUGCUUUAAAACCUUCAGGCUAUGACAUUAGUAUCUUUUCUUCAAGAUUACCAUGUAGGAAGGUAGUCUUCACAUCCAUUUGUUCAAGCUCUAGAUCAAAUAAAGCCACCAUAACAAGUAAGAUUCUGAUUGAGCUGUGCUUUAUAACUGGUGAGAAGAUUUUAUUGAAAUAAAUCCCCUCCUUUUGUGUGAACCCCCUUGCCACCAGUCUUCCCUUAUAUCUUGAGUUUUCAACACCUGGGAUGCCCUCCUUUUUCUUGAAUAUCCAUUUGCAACUGACAACUUUCCUAAUCCCUGGAUUAGGAACCAAGGUCCAAGUCUGAUUUCUUACUAGAGAAUCCAUUUAUUCCCUCAUGGCUUUAAUCAGUUACUGUUGUUCUUGCUAUCUAUUGCUUCUCUAUAGUUGUUAGGCUCUUCAAUUGCAACAUCUUCUGCACUCAUUAAUGCAUAUGCCACCAUGUCUGCAUAUGCAUAUCUUGCUGGGGGUCUGAUAUGUCUUUUUUUCUCUGUCCCUAGCUAAUUGAUAUUGUUACAAAUCAGUUGCUUGUGGUGCUUCAUUUUCUGUUACUACUGUAUCUUGAGAAUCAGGUUUAAUAACUUCUGGUUGUAUUUCAUCUUUAUAGGUAUUAGACAACUCCACCUCAAUCUUUUCACUUUGAUCAAUGGCCUCAAUGGCUUGUGUCUUAUUUGCACUAAUGUUAGUAUCAGAGGUGACUUGAUCAGGAUUAUUGAUCAUAGCAACUUUAUUAAACUGAACAUCUCUGCUAAUUAGACAUUUACUAGCCUCUCCACACCAGACCCUAUAGCCUUUAACCCCAUCUGGAUAACCAACAAACACUCUUUUUAUAGCUCUUGCUUCAAGCUUCCCUUGUCUAACAUGGAAAUAAGUAGGGCGCCUAAAUACAUUUACAUGUUCAUAACUUCCAAGCUUUCCAUACCAGAGCUCUUUAGGAGUUUUGAAGCCAAUUGCAGCAGAUGGACUUUUGUUUACAAGAUAACUUGCUGUAGAAACAACUUUUGCCCAAAAACUUCUAGGGAGCUUAGAGUUUAUCAACAAACACCUUCUUUUUUAUCAACAAUUGUUCUAUUCAUCCUCUCAGUCAAACCAUUUUGUUGAGGGGUGAAUCUCACUAUUUUAUGCCUCAUGAUUCCGUAUUCUUGGCAGUAUUGCUAAAAUUUUUUGUUAUAGAAUUCAAGUCCAUUGUCUGUUCUUAAACAUUUAACCUUGAAACCAGAUUGAGUCUCCACCAAAGUCUUCCAAAUAUUGAACUUUUCCAAGGCUUGGUCUUUGGUUUUCAGUAUGUAGAUCUAUACUUUCCUGGAAUAGUCAUCUAUAACUGACAUGAAAUAUCUUCCCCCACUCAAAGAUGGCACCUGGGCAGCCCCCAUAGAUGAACAUGCCCAUAGUCCAGAGGUUGUUUAGACAUAUGCAUGCCCUUUGGAAAUUUGGACCUGUGUGCUUUGCCAAAAAUAUAGUUUUCACAGAAGUCUAACUCAUUUAUUUUAUCACCACACAACAAUCCUUGCUUACUCAACUCUUACAUUCCCCUAAUACUCAUAUGGCCAAGUCUAAGAUGCUGUAAUAUGGUUCUAUUAAAAUAAAAAACAGCAGACAUUGCAGCUGAAACAGGCACUGAUGAUCCUUCUAACACAUAAAGGACAUUUUUCUUAACUCCUUUCAUUAUCAUUUGAGUCCCUUUCAUAAUCUUUAAACCACCAUUUUCAAAUUUGAAGCAAUAUCCCAUACUAUCCAGCAUGCCUAAAGAGAUCAAGUUCCUCUUUAGCCUAAGUGCAUGCCUCACAUCAUAUAGAGUUUUAACAGUCUCCUCAAACAUCUCUAUUUUGACAGACUCCAUACCAAUAACCUUACACACAUUGUUGUUACCCAUCAAUACUCUACCACCAUCCACAGAUUCAUAUGUAUGGAAAAGGCUUCUAUCAUGACACAAAUGAAAAGAACAACCUGAAUCAAGAACCCACAGACCUUUAAUAUUGUUGUUCGAAGCCACCAAAAAUUCAGCACUAUGAUACCCAUCAUCAGAGGAGUCAUCUGAGGCCACUGCUGCAUCCCUUGUUCUUUCUUUUUCAUCCUUCUUUUUCUCAUCACAAUCCCUGAUGUAGUGGCCUUGCUUUUUGCAGUAAAAACACUUUCUUUUCUUCAUUUUUUCCUUUGCAGAUGCAUCAUCCGUUUUGGCUUGAUUCUUGUUCUUGUUCUUCUUGUUUUUCUUAUCUGUUCUGGCAAUUAAACCUUCACCAUUACUUACUUCAUGCCCAUUACUCUUCUGAAUCUCCUUAGAGCUCAAAGAGGCUUUCACGUCCUCUGGGGUUAGAGUGGUUAUUCCAUACAGCACGGUGUCCACAAAACCUUCAUAGGUUUUAGGCAAUGAACUCAGUAAAAAGAAAACUUUAUCUUCAUCAGUAAUUUUCACAUUUUCAACCCCUUCAAGAUCAAGAAUGAUCUUGUUGAAGUUGUCAAUGUGUUGUUGAAUAGAUACCCCUUCUUUCAUAGAGAAGGUAUAUAAUCUUUUCUUCAAGAAAAGUCAAUGUACUAAGGAUUUCUUCACACACAGAGCCUCCACCUUGUUCCAGAUACCAAGGACUGUCUUCUCUUCAUAAAUUUCCCUUAGGAUUGAGUUAUUGAGACUCAAGAUCAAGCAAAAUGAACAAGAAAUGAAGAAGAUAUCGGUCUAAUAUCAGAGGCUAGUCACAAGUGCCUUUUUUUCUGAUAUUUUUGGAAAACAUCAUAACGAACUCUCAACGAAUUCUGCCACAUCAGCAUAAGUUUUUCAACAAGUCCCCUCCAUCUCAAGUCGAUCUGCUCACUGCCCCAAGAAUACUCCAAAUCUUGCAUUUAAAGCCAACAUACCAGCAACUUAUUUCCUCACACAAUCUACAGAACAUUUCUUGUGGAAAGAAACUUAUUUCGCUACUAGACUUUUAAUGAGGCCCUUUUCCCAGAAUCUGGAUAAGAGUUAGAUGCCUCCCGGAAUAUUGGUAGGAGUAUAUUUCUAAGUUAUUGCUCGGUAGAUCUCUGAUAUGACUGAAAACAUCAAUACAUGCAUGAUUUUAUAAUAAAGAAUACUCUAAAAUUAUUUGUAUAUCACCAUUUGCAGUUGUGCCCUCUCGAAUGAAGGAGCAAUCAGCAACUAAAAUGAAGCCCGAAAUGUACACGCAUGAGGCAAUUUUUCCAGAAGAUUGAUAUUUCUCUAACUCGCAAACCAUACAAACCCAAAGCUAGCCAAACCAUACCGGCAAGUUCGAGGCUUAAAUGGAGUACUUUUAAGCAUAAAACAUUGAUUAAAACAGAAUACACACACACAUACCAGCAAAUUCAAAAUAGAACAGAAAUACAACUGUUCAAGUUUGUAAACAAUAUUACAAUCAUUGCUUAUUUAUAGCAAAUCCUUGAAAUCUGCUAAAUGAAACAAUGCCUUGCCUCAUGAAUCAAAGUUGAAUUAAAAUUGAAAUUGAAAGUCCGGCUGGUGUUGUUUCCCUCUCUUGUUUUGCCUACAUAAGUAAAGGGAAAUGAGAAUAAAAAAUUAAAAUCUGCUUUUACAAUUCUUAUUAGAUAGAUAUAAAGGGGUCUUUCUUUGUUUCUCUGCUGCAAUGUGUGGCUAUCCCACUCUGUUUUGCCACUCAAGCUGAGUUUACGUUGAGUUAUAAUUUUGACAUCAGAAGGACCUCAAUUAGUUUGGCAUUUUUAUGACCUCCUUGUACGUUUUACGAUAAACAUAAAUCUACUGAGAAAGUGGGAAAAAAAGAAAAGGCAUAUAAAAGUAUUAGUUUGGCAUUAAAACUCACCUAAUUCAAUCCAUCAGAUGCAGUAAGGAUAAAAUUGGAUGUCAUACGGCCAUUCCAUUUCCUCGAAAGUCCUUAGUUUUUGUCUCAACUCUGUCUGAGGCCAAUGUAAAUCCAAUUUGCGCAAGCUCUUUAUGCACCACAGCUCUUCUGGAAGCUUCCUCAAGUAAGCACAUGGGUUGCAAUUAAGCUUUCAAGUUUUGGUAUUGCUCCUGUCCCCAUUGUCCACUCGUCUAGCCAAUACAUUGAUUUUAGCCUUUUAGGUGCAAAACCUUAAGUUUCGGAAAGCCACCAGAGCCAGCACAAUCCAGCCUUCUUCCUAAAUACGGGUGCUGCUUCAAUUUCAGCACUUGAAGGUGUGGAAGUUUCUCUAGCAUUGGCAUGGGAUCCUCCUUUAGCUCAAUAUUUGAUAAGCUCAGUUGGGUCAGACUUGGAGGAAAUUGGUAUUCGGACAGGACCAUUCGUGAGAGCUUGCUUUCAUUCACCAGCUUCAAGCAUUCCAGUUUGUGGAGUUCGCAUAGGCUUUUGGAAACCCCAGAAUGAUAGCAGCUCAAAUCUCCAGACACUCUUAAGAGUUUGAAGAUUAGGCAGUCUGCCCAAUAUAUCUGGAGUGCCACUACUAGGGUGUAAGGCUGAUAUGAAAAUGAGAUUUUUCGGAGAGCUGCAAUAAUUAUUGGGAGGUGCAGGCAGAGUGAUGGAACCGAAGUUCAGAUGCAUGAGCUUUUGCAUCAGAUUCCGUUUGGAUAUAACUGGAUGUCAUAACGCCACUCCAUAUCCUCAAAAGUCCGUAGCCUUUGUCUCAACUCUAUCUGGGGCCAGUGUAAGUCCAAUUUGUGCAAGCUUUUAUGCACGAUAGCUCUUCUGGAAGCUUCCUCAAGUAAGCACAUGGGUUGACAAUUAAGGUUUCAAGUUUUGGCAUUGCUCCAGCCCCCAUCGUCCACUCAUCUAGCCAAUACAUUGAUUUCAGGUGCAAAACCUUAAGUUCCGGAAAGCUACACGAGCCAACACAAGCCAGCUUUCUUCCUAAAUACGAGUUCUGCUUCAGUUUCAACACUUGAAGGUGUGGAAGCUUUUCCAGCAUUGGCAUGGGAUCCUCCAUUAGCUCAGUAUUUGAUAAGCUCAGAUGGCUCAGACUUAAAGGAAAUUGGUAUUCAGACAGGACAAUCCGUGAGAGCUUGCUCUCAUUCACCAGCUUCAAGCGUUCAAGUUUGUGGAGUUCGCAUAGGCUUUUGGAAACCCCAGGGUGAUAGCAACUCAAAUCUCCAGAUAUUCGAAGAGUUUGAACAUUAGGCAGUCUGCCCAAUAUAUCCGGAGUACAACUACUAGGGUGUAAGGCUGAUAUGAAAUUGAGAUUUUUCAGAGAGAUGCAAUAAUUUUUUGGAGGUGCAGGCAGAGUGAUGGAACCGAAGUUUAGAUGCAUGAGUUUUUGCAUCAUCCAAAUAUCCUCUGGUGACUGAUCUAUGUAGCUUGAUGGCAUUUCUAGUGUUUGAAGGUUUAAAAGGGUGCAUAGCAGUGAAGGAAGGCAUUUGAGCGAAGGGAUAUUCAAUUUCAAAUACUUCAAAUAGAAUAAAUUUUCUAAUCCAGGUGGAAAG
rnacentral:lncRNA from 1 species